rnacentral:lncRNA from 1 species
CGAAAUGCGCAUUUUAAUUAGUUCAUAUAUUUCUGGAGAUUUAUCACGAUUUAAUUACGAUAGUGAUCAGUGUGAGGGGCAGCUCUUGAAGCUUGAGAAUUCCAGGGCAACGUCCUUGUCUGGAGAUGUUGGGACUCUUACAUCCAUUAGUCUUCACCUUCAGAGACUAAUAGAUUAUAUGAGUGUGUCGUGGUUUAUCUUGGCAUAAUAUCACCUAGUGGGCAGCUAGUGAAUGUUCUCUUUAUGUAUUUGGUGGAGGAAAGAACAUAUGGAUGCAUCUGUCUAUUGGUUGUCUGAUGAAUCUGUUUACCGAGAGAAUUCUUCUUCAAUUCAAGCCGAAAGUAACCCUAGGAAGAUCAGUGGCUCUGUGAUUUAUUUAUUAGCCAAAUUGUAAAACUCUCCACCUCAAUAUGCAGUGGUGUUUAACACGGAGGAUGACAUCGGCACCUAUACCAUCAAAGCUAUAGAUGAUCCAAGGACCUUGAACAAAAUUAUGUACAUCAGGCCUCCUGCCAACACCAUCUCAAUGAAUGAGCUCGUGUCUUUGUGGGAGAGAAAGAUUGGCAAGACUCUGGAGAGGGUGUAUGUUCCAGAGGAGGAGGUUCUGAAGAAUAUUCAAGGUUAGGGCUGCAUUUCUAUUGGAUUUAAGCGCGUAAAUUGUCUUUGUUCUCUCUAAGAUUUAAAGCUUGUCCGGUCAUUGUAGAGGCAGCGUUUCCGCAGAAUGUGAUAUUGGCAGUACUCCAUUCUGUUUUCGUGAAAGGAGACCAAGCCAACUUCGAGAUUAAGCCGUCAUUCGGAGUGGAAGCUUCGAAGCUCUACCCCGAUGUCAAGUACACGACUGUGGAUCAGUAUAUGGAUCAGUUUAUUUGAUUAUCGAACCCGAUUGUGUUUGUUAAAUUUCUCACAUAAGCUUGAAUCAUAAAUAAUAUAGGAUGCUGCUUCUCAGGAUCCUAGUGUGAAAUGUUGCAUGCCCUGAUCAUCACAUGGCAUGUACAACCCCAAAGUCUGAGGACAUCCUAUGAAGUGCUUAGAGAAAUUACUUAUGUUUUGGAGAUUGAUAUUGGGUUCAUGGGCCAAGCCAAGCUAGCACAAAGAUGUGGGUUUUUCUACUUUUGGCUAUUGUAUUGUCUUUCACGUCUAAAUAAUUCACGGACGACCACUAUCGUGAAAGUCAGAUACUUAACGUAUUACCAAGGAUGAAAUUUCCGUCAUGUGCUAAUUAUGUAUAAUCUUAAAGAAUGACAAGUUAAAACAAACGUAAACCCAUUAGCGAAUUCCUGACAAUAUCGAGUUAUCGUUAAUGUUUCAAGGGCUUUUAUUGUAUGAAUUUUCCUAAUGUGGGCUUUUCAUCGACACGUUUAUAGUUUUUUUUUUUUAGCUGAUCACUCACGAGAUAACUAGUCUAUCUGGUGAAGCUAUUGAGGGAUUUUAACGCAAUAGACUUGAGAAUUUGACCAAAUAUCGUCGCUCGACUGUGCUAUCUGCAAGGGUCACUAUGGCAUUGAAAAAAUUGACGAGAGACCAUAGAUAGGUCGGUUCAAUAGAGGUAUGUAAUUAGUGUGUGGUUGAUUUCAUCUUAUUACAAAAUUCUCGUCGAAAGGCACUAAACCGAUUUUUUUCUGUCAUUUCUAUACCCUGUGCGGGUAUUUGAAAUCUCGAGAUUUUCACGACAAUCGAGAGUUGCCAAUGAGUCGAAGAUGCCCAAUGUGGCUUGAAAAUAAGCGACCAUGAGUCAAUUGCACUAAAAAUUCCUAAAAGAUGCUCGGUAAGUUAGGUCACGCUAAAAUCGUGCUCGGUUGAAAUUAACCGUAUAGUUAAACCUGAUUUCAAAAAUUGAGAAUUCUGUCAUGUCAUGAUUCAUUUUGGAAACAUUGACUCAUCCUUUAAAGAUUUUUCUACAAACUCGAGAUUUCGGCAAAAUUUCAAAGUAAGGCUAUUUUGGACUGGGAAAAUUAGAGGGCCAUUUUUAGUCACAUUUUUGUCCAUCAAGUUGGUUCAAUUGAUGAGAAAAAAUCAUGAGAUGGACGAUGGCAUCUCGGCUGAAUUUAUGGCAACGGAAUUGAGCCCAAUUGAUGAGAACUUGAAUCAAUUUGGAGGGAAAUUGUCCAAAAUUCGUAGGUCCUUGGAGUGUGCAACAUUUGGACCCUUGGAUGGCUUGUUAGGGAAGCCUUAGGUGUGCAAUUGGUUGAGGAUUGAAGGCUAAAGUGGUGGGGGUCUUUGUGAUGAGCAAAUGGGGAUAUUUGUGUUGACUAGAAGGCUUGGUAGCCCCCCUCUUGCUGUAGCUGUCUUCUUCUUCUUCAUUGGAGUGCUUUAUCCAUUGUUGAGUGAGUUUUGAGAGCUCAAAAUUCCAGAGAGAACCGGAGAAGACUCCCGUACUAUCGAUCGUCUCCCCUGCCGUCGUCGUGCAUCGUUGCGCCGCCCGUGCCCCGCACGUCUGCGUGCCCGUCUGCCUGCGUCCUAGCCUUCUAGCUGCAUCCCGAGCUGCCUUGGUCACCGUCAUAGCCUCAUUGGAGCUCCACCGUCGCCGUCCAGCCACCAUCAAGCACCAUUGUCGCCUGCUGCAGCCUCCGCCUCCGCCUCUCAUCCCGUAUUUGUUGACACCUAAAUUUUGGCGACCCGUUUAGUUAUUUAUCAAAAAAUUAGGGAUUAAUUUUAACCCCUAAAAAAAUAUUAGUUAAUUAAUUAAUUGCACAGCAUAUAGUUUUAGGUGCAUUCAUUUUAAUUUGCAUUUACAUUGGGCCGGUGAUAAAUGGGUUCAAAUUGAUGGUUCAGAACUUUAAUUUGGUGAAUUGGAUUAAGCCCACGAAGGGAGUAAAUCGGCCCAAGCCUGUAUCCUCGGAAAUAUUUUACGGAUUUAUUUGUGCGAGAUUUCAAAUUUUAGAAGAAUCCUCUUGCAAUCCUAAAUCAUAUCAAAAGCAAAUAUUGCAUUUGGAAAAAGGAAUUUUUGUGGAUACGGAUUUGGAAAAAAUAAAACCUUAACUUGUGAACUAUAAAUAGAUAAAAUGCGUAGGGUUUGAGGAGGAGGCCACAUGUUGAAUACUCGGCCACAUUGACGGGGGCUUUUCUAGGGUUUCUUUUGGUCAACUGAAAAGAAAAGAAAAAAAGUGAAGGAAAGUGAAAAGUAAAAGCAGAAGCAGCAGAGGGGAGGAAGUGAUUGGACAUUGACUGUUCAUCGUCUUCCCCACAUUCGCUGCCCCGGUUGCCAGCUUCUCUUCACCCGUGCCCGCGCUGCGCUGACGCCAUCAAAUCGUAAGCCGCUCGAACUCCCUCGUCACCCAAUCCGUCGCGCCUCCGCAGCUAUGAGCACCACCGCAAUCGGCAUCUAGCGACCGCAUCUCAGACCGCCCCCGGCGCCACCUCACCGCGACACCACACCAGAUGGGCCCGCUUCUGAUCAAUGCCUGCACCUGAAGUUUCUCGGCCCGCGACGCCCUUCGCCGGUGGUCCGAGCUGCUGCCGCACGCAUCUGCUCUGCCCCCAAUCCGACCGUGAAUCUACCCAGCCCGGAGUCCAAUCUCGCGUUCGCAAGACUACCAUGAUGUGUCUCCGUGAUCCAGCCCUGAAGCCUGAUGCCAGAGCCAUUCCUACUUUGCUGUCGAACCUUCCGCCCAGACGCAGCAACACCGCCCUGCCUUCGCCUGUGGUCCGUUUUAGCCAGCCCUCCACCCGAGGGACCAUCCGAGCCGGACCUGAGGUCCUCUGCUCGCAACGCCCAGACCCGGAAUCCCCUGCCCGCGACGCCCUGUGCCGAAGUCCGAACGUUGGCAAUUCUGACCGCGACACCCAUGUUCCGCCUACUGUCCCUGCUAUCCGGGUGCUUCCCUAUUCCUGCCGGUUCACCCUUUUCAGAGCUUCCUUGUUGGACUGACAACCUAUUGCCUUGGAGACCUGCGAGCAAGCCGUGCUUGAAAAAGGGAAAAAAAAUCAGAUUAGGUAGUUUUUAUUUUAUUUUUUAAUAUUAUGUUUUAAUGGAAUUGUUCUUAAAUAUAGGAUUGAUAUUAUGACAUGAAUUAGCCCCUCAAAUAAGGGAUUGAUAGUCUGAUUUUCACGCCCGAGAUCCGACUCACAAUCCCUUGCAAAAUCGUCAAUCCGAUCUCACGCCCGAGAUUCGAUUCGCGAUUUAAUUUAAAAUUGGCCAACCCGAUCUUAUGCGCGAGAUAUGGUUCGUCAAUUUUUGGAUAUCAAUCUUUUCUUGUUUGAUUUGCCGUCAUGGUGUUUGGAUUAAUUUUAUUUUCGUAAAAGGAAAAAAUCCAAAAAAAAUCGAAUUAGGAUUAAGUUUAUUUUAGAAUGUUCCUAGUCUUAGGGUUAUCUUGCAUGUUUAGAAUUGCAAUCUCAUUUCGAAUUUUUAAAUAAAAAUCCAAAAAAUGCGUUCAUUUAGGAUGUUAGUUUUCUUUAAUUUAAAUGGCACGUUUGAUUAUUUGGCAAUUUUAAAUUUCGAAUUUUAUAAAAAGAAACAAAAAAAAAUCAUCAUGCAUAUAUCAUGUUGAAUUAGGGCAUUCUUUGCACGUCAUUGCAUGUUUAUCAAUUAUAGGUAGAUAAUCUCUCCUAGAUAAAUUGCAUGUUUUUGUUAGGAAAAUAAAAAUGCCCAUGUCAUAUAGAAUUAGAUUCAUGAAAUGCAUGUCAUUUAGUGAUUGUUCCUAGGUUCAUUUAAUUAGAAAUUGUCCAUCAUUAGAUUAGGUCAUAUAAUAAAUGUCAUAGCUCGCAUAUUAAAUUACAUGUUGCGUGUCAUUUUUGUUGAAAUAAUUUUAUACGUCGUUGCAUUGCAUUACACGUCAUUAGAAUUAAGUCAUUUUGGUUAAUUUAGAUUGCAUAUUUAAUUAUUGCAUGUUCAUUAAGAAAUCACAAAAAAAUUUAUUCAUUCAUAUAGUUUAGGACAUGUUGCCAUGCCAUAUCACAUUGCAUUGCAUAUGGAUUAUAAUCUCGUUAAAAAAGUGAAAACGAAAAUUGAGUGAUGACGUGUUAAUUAGAAAUCAUAUCUAGAGUUGUUGAUGUGAAUUCUGAUCCAACACUGUAGAUGUUUUCGUUGCUAUGAGUUAAGUCUUGCAAUUUAUUCAUUGCUUUUCUUGGAUGUUAAAUUGAUGGUUUGUGCACCCGCAUGAUCGCCUCAUAUGUUAGGAAAAUAGAUUUAAAAUCAAUUCAAGCUGCCUGCCAAACAUUUUUCGAAAUAAAAGAGAAAUGUACCGAAAGGGCGUUAGAAAAAUCUAGCAUAACUAAGUCCCCGAACUCAUAGUAAAGUAAAUCUCCCGUUACUUUGCUUGGGUUUCUAAUCGACCCACCAAAAAAUAGAUUAGUGGCGACUCCUAAUUGAAAAUCAAUUGCAUGUUAAGAAUUUGAACCUAAGUCGCGAAUUGGUAUGGGCUUGGGAAAGCCCGAGUUAAGUCUAGGCAUAACAAUCCAUUAGCCAAAUCUUAGGUGGCUCACACCUGAAAAUUUGGUCAUGACAGUGUUGUUUCAACCACUUAGCUUGCUCUCUCGGCCUAGAGCAGAAGCCAAAGCUCAGCCCCUAGCUGAGGCUUUGUGGCCCGUUUUAGGCCCCGUCUGAACCUUCGUUGGUAUUGCCACAUGCUUGUUUAUUACUCACCUCUGCGUCGCCAUCGCCGUGGACUCACCAGCCCGCUAAAUCGGUGAGUUUACUUGCUAAACUUUGCUUGGGGAAUUAAUGACGUUUAGUGGAUAAUUAGUUUAGGCUAAGUGUGGAUUAGGUGGUUAGUUAGUUUGGAUUAGUGAUUUAAUCAUUUAGUUAUGCAUGUUAUGUGGUUAGAAUAAACUAAUUAAGGGCUAGAUAGAUUGUACUAUCUAUCUAGAUAGAUUCGGAAAUUUUCUAGGCCCGUUUAGGUGGUUAGAUUAGCAUUUUUGGCCUAAGUUAGUAUUUAUGUAUUUAAUUUACUUUAUUUAAUUAUUUUUGGAAUUUAUUUAAUUAUUUUAUAUUUUUCGAAAAUUAUACCAUAAUAGUCGAUAAUCGGAAUUUUGUGUUGAUUGCAGUGGUAUGUUUAGUUUAUGCAAUUAAGUGUUAAUUUGUGCAAAUUGGGUGGUGAUUGGAAUUUUGAUUAUUUAAUCCAAAAUUGUGAAAUUUUGAUAUUUAAUUAGAAAACCCCAGGUGUCAGGUUUUAACACUGAAAGUGGUUUUAAAGACUAUAUCAAACAGUUGGAUUUUAAAAGGUAGGAUAUCAAUUUUUCUGGUUCAAAUUGAUCGUGUACCCGCACACAAUUAUUUUACCAUGUGUUUUUCAUACGAAGAAAAUGGGCCAAAUACAUUAUUUUAAUUUGGACAUUUGAAUGUAAAGCAUGAUGUCUUGGCUGAGAUUUGAUGGAUGCAUGAAUGGUUAUGAGAACCCGUCCCUGAAAUGAGUCGGAUGGACAUGCCCUUAUAUGGGAUGCUCUAGCAAUGGAUGGCGGAUCGCGGUAGAGGCCAGAUCAAAGCUCGUGCAUAGACUGCAUUUAGGUGUAUUUCCUUUCUAGUUGGAUUUUAGGGGGUGAACUUGCUAAGACAUUGUCUCGCCCCGUUAUGGGCUCAACCUUUUCAGGUCCUUAGAUGGUAGCUCCUCUAAAGCGUUUUGGCCAACCCAAGAGGGUCACCAAAUAGGUCUCUGAGAUUCUUCUUCCCGGGGGCUAAGGAGCUUGGGUCAAUGAGCUUGUGAGGACCAUUGUCUGGGUUAAUGCGGGUCUACCUCGAAUGGUAUCCCAUCAAUUCAGAACGUGGUAUCGUCACGGGUGAAAUGGACCUAGAGAAGGUCCUCUUUAGGAUUAUGAGAUCCUUGUGUCGAUGUUAGAAAUCGCUUUUGGCAAGGAUACAACCAACCCUCCUGGUGGUGCAGUCGUGGACCCAAAUUCCUAGGAGAGUUCGGGAUUUUCAGCUGCGGGUUCGAAUGCCUAGAGGACCUGUAGAUUUUAUGCUUUUAUAGACUUUUGUUUAUAAACUAGUAUUGUAAAUAAACUAGUCGACUGUGUAUAAAGGUGUGUUAUAGUUGUGAAAUCAUGGUCCUGCUUUUCUAUCCCAUCUUUGUGCUAUUUGGGGAUUUAUUUAUACACUUCCACACGCACAUUAAAAUGAAUGGGUCAGCGACGCGUCUUGGGACGUUGCAAUUUAAUCGACCACCGAGGGAUGGGCACACACUCGAGGAUCUAGGCGUGACAAAACUCACCGGUUUAGCGAUCCGGUGAGUCCACAACGAUGGCGACGCAGAGGCGGGCAACAAACAACCCUGCGGCAACACCAACCAAGGCCCGGAAGAGACCUAAAACCGGCCUUGAAGCAUCACAGCCCUUGCUAGCCUUCAGCUUUUGCUUUGGGCCAAGCAAGUUGAUACCAGCGGCUGAAACGGCAAGGCGGGCGGACGGGCGGCUGCAAUGGGCUAGGUGGAGGCAAACAGCAACUGGACAAUGACGGCGGGGCUUCGAUGGCAACCAGGGACGACUAUUGGAUGGCGAGGCGAUGCGAAUGCUAGUGGUUAGGCACGAUAGAGGCAUGAGCGAGCGAGACGUCAUGCGACAGGUUGGCAGACGUGAGCGGCGGGUGCGGUGGCUUGGGAGGCUAGUCAACGAAAAGGGGAGAGCUACUCUGCUUUCCUCUGGUUUUUGGAGCCCAAAAUGGACAACAAUGGUUAAAGGUGGCCCUAAGCUUGAAGAAGAAGCUGCUGAAGACUUGGAGGGUCCCCCUUGGCCACAAAUAUCCUCUUCUUGAUCAUUGGUUGCCCCCAUCAGCUUUGCCCUAUCCACAGCCAACUUUGCAGCAUCAAAACAUCCCCUAGAAGCUUCCUUUGAUGCCUCAAAUGUUGCACACCCCUUGGCCUAUGGAUUUUGUACACUUUCCAUCCAAAUUGAAUCAAUUCCCCUCUAAUUGAACUCAAUUUGACGUCUAUAAAUCCAACCAAGGUGUCCUUGUCAAAUACAACAUUUUUCCUCACCAACUGAACAAACUUGAAUCUCAAAAACGCGACAAAAAAUGGUCCUCUAAUUUUCCCAGACAAAAAAUGGUCAUACUUUGAAAUUUUGCCAAAAAUCCCGGUUUACCGAAAAGUCAUUAGAGGAUGAGUCGAUGUUUCUAAAAUAACGCGUGACAUGUUAGAACUUUCAAUUUCACAGUUAAUUUUAAUCUAGCGCAAUUUUAGCGUGACCUAAUCUACUGGGUAGCUUUUAGGAAUUUUUAGCGCACUUGACCCAUGGUUGAUUAUUUUCAAGUCACAAUGUACAUUUUCGACACAUUGGCAACUCUCGGUUGUCGUGAUAAUUUCAAGAUUUCAAAUGCCAACAUAGAGUACAAGUUUAACAGAAAUUUUGCAAUUAGGUAGAAUCACCCACGCACUAAUCAUAUAUCUCUGUUGAAUCAACCUUUCUCCAGUCUCUGAUCAAUUUUGAUAGUAUCGUAAUAACCCUUGCAGAUUAGCACGGUCGAGCAGUCGAUUCCUCGUUGAAUUCUCAAGUCUAUUACGUUAAAAUUCCUUAACAGUUUCACCUGAUAAAUUAAUUUUCCCGUGAGUAAUCAAUUCAGGGAAAAGAACUAUAGGCACGUCGAUGAAUAUCCCAACUCAUUUAAUCAAAGACAGAACCUGAAAUUCAGGAUGUCACAUAUUUUGUCGACAUAACAAUCAAUUUUCUAGGUCAAAUUCAGACAACUUUUGGUAUGUCAAGUUGUUGUUUCAAAACAAUUUACGCCAUCAGCCAAAUUCAACAAAAUCGAUAGAUAAGUACUUUACGUGUGCUCAUUCUCCACCGUGAAUUUCUUCCGUCUUUCGUGGUCACUUUUGUAUGUGCUCAUUUUCCGAGUGAGGGAUGCUGGGUGUGGGGAAAUCAAUUAUGCCCUUUCGGAACCAAAAUAAAAUGACGAUUCAUCUCGAUGCACGCCAAUAAGCAACAACAGUUGUAGCACAAGACCGAGCAACUUCUCUAGGAAAAACCACACCUCUGCCUUGAAAGAACCCUUUGAGAUGGCUGAAAAGAGCAAAGUGCUGGUGAUGGAAGGCAUUGGAUACAUUGGAAAGCUCAUUGUGGAGGUGAGUGCUGAGUCCGGUCACCCUACCUUCACUCUUGUGAGGGAGUCCGCUCUCUCCGAUCCUGCUAAGGUUGGCAUCGUAGAAGGUUUCAAGAGCUUGGGUGUCAAUAUAUUCUAGGUGAGUAAUUAUUCACGUGCGGUUGUGUUCCUUCGCCAUUCUGAGAAAUGUUUUUAUCAAUAGGAUCGAAGUUGAUUUUUAUAUUUAUCUCUCACUUGAUGAGUUGAUGGAGUCACAUUACGAUAUGGCGUUGCUCUUUCUCUUCUUUGAUAUUUUGUCUGUGUGCAUGGUUGGAAUCAGAAAUCAUGUCCCUCUUCUUUUUAAAAUGCUUGAUGAGAUCUCAACUUUGGAUGAUGAUAUGAACGUGCACAUUUUCAGAUAAAAUCUUGUGGAAACUUUGGUAUGCUUUGGCUAUUUAUGAGGCAGCUAUAGCUAUGUGGCUGCACUUUGCUGCAUAGACAAAUCUUGUGGAUGAUUGCCAACUUCAUUGAUCGUUUGUCCAUGCUAUUUGUUAUUUGAUUCUCAGGGAGACAUAUACAGUCAAGAGAAUCUGUUGAUUGCAAUUAAGCACGUUGAUGUGGUAAUCUUUGUUGUGGGAUGAGCACAAGUGAAGGACCAAGACAGGAUUGUAGCUGCCAUUACAGCAGCUGGGAAUAUCAAGGUGGUGCCAUGCCUAGUCAUUUCAUUUCAAGUUACUAUUGUUGGUUUAGCAUUUUGUUGACACCUAAAUUUUGACAUCCUCGUCAUCUAUUUAUUGCAUAGAAUAAUUAGGAUUAAUUUUUAACACCUAAAAAAAAUCAAGUUGUGUAGCAUAGAGUUUUAAGAGCAUUGUUAUUAUUGCAUUUGUAUUAGACUGGUAACGAAUGGGGGUUUGAACCAAUAGUUCCGAACUUUAAUUUAACAAAUUGGACUAAGCCCAUGAAGAAAGGGAAUUGGCCGAAGCCCGUUAUUCUCUGAUGACCAAUGUUGACACCUAAUUUUUAUUUUUAUUUUCAAGCACACAAAAAAAAAAAACAAACAAAACCAAAAAAAAAAACAAACAAACAAAAGUUGAUACAAAAAAAAAGAAGAAGGGCCGCGGGGGUCGGGUCGGGCCGAUCCAGCCUCGGCUCGACCUAUCCCUUUUCCUUUUCUUUCCCCCCACGUGGGCCUUGGGCCCAACUCCUCCCUUUUUCCUUUUUCUUUUUCCUUUUUGCACGGCGCGGCCCGUGCUCAUUUGUCUUCUCCUCUAGCCGUUUCUCGCGCGGGGAAGCAGUGAAGGAGAAAGCAAUCGCCAGAGCAAAAGGGAGGGCGUGCAGGGGACAUCAAAUCCACGUGGGGGGCAACGCGAUCCGUAGGCGAGCAAGCCAGCAAAGAGCGGGGUUGGUCAAGCGAAGCCACGCAAGCAAGUUGGGUGGAAAGGAGAAAAGAAAAGGGCAGAACAGGGGGGAGAAAAGGAAAAUCAAAGAAAAAAGGGGAAAAAACAGGGAAACACCGAGUGGAGGAGAGGAGUAAGAGAGACCCCGGAGCCAUUGAUCACUACCAUUGGUCACCGCCAGAGUUGCCAACCGCCUCCGACUCUGCUGGAGUCUAGGAAGCAGAACAGAGGUGCGAAGCAGAGGGCGACAGGAGGGAGAGAGAGGAGAGAGUGGGAAAGCCGUGGGAGAUCAGCCAAGAAGUAGGGAGCCCCCAGGACGCCUCGCCACUACUGGAGAGCCGCCUGUUCGUCGCCGUCCACUACCAUAUUUCGCGGAAUCCAGGUUGGCCUUUUAUCGAACACUUGACGUGCGAUUUUUUAUAUUGAGUUGGCCGGAGCUCGUUUCGCCUGUUUCAAGCGAGCUCCAGCCCCUUUGUCUGUCCCUGUUAUUUUCCUUAAAUGUCGGUAGGUCUCCUUAGGUCUUCAGGUCCGCGCUCAUGCUUCGGCCGAGCUGGAGGCUCUUGGUCUCGUCCAUGCACUCCACCUGCUCGCCAAAAUACCCAAUCGGGAGUUGUUUUUUGUUUCCUUUAGUUGGAGAUCUAGCUCGACCAUUAGGCUGCUGGAAGGGAUGCUAUUGUCUAGCCGGAGGACGAGCAUCGUCCCCUGCCCUAGCCGGCACCGCCGUGCCCAGGCCGGAGAACCGCCCGAGCACGACGACAUCUCCCCCUGGUCGCAACUGGAAGUCGACCGACCAAAGGGAGGUCAACCAAGCGGGCUAGAUCUUGGCCCGCUCAGCCCUUCUCGCCCCGUAGGCCGAUGGCCUAGACUUGGUCUAGGUCGUGGGCCUGCUAGGAGCUCCUUUUGCGAAAGGGGUUGGGCCCAUUCGACGGGCCCAACUUGCACUUAAUUGCAAGCCCGACCAUUGGUCGGGCUUGUUCUUUUCCAAGUGGGCCAACGGCCCUAUGGUCAGGCUUGCUCUUUUCCAAGCGGGCCAACGGCCCGCCCCUCCCCAAUAGGACCGAACCCGAGUCCGGUCUCCAACGGGACUUGAACUGCACCGACCGACCCGAACUAGGGUCGGGUCAGACUGGACCCAACCCGGUUCACCCAAAAAAAAAAUUAAAAUAUUUAAAUAUUUAAAAAAAUUAUUUUAAAAAAAUUAAAAAAUUUAGAAAAAAUUCGAAAAUCAUAAAAAAGUAGGAUUUGGUUAGGAAAUGCCAUAUAUUGCCUUCUUAACCUAACUAGGCCUUUAUUUGCUCAUAUUUUGAUUAUAUCGCAUGUUUAGUUUGCAUAUUUUGUUUAUUAAUUGCACGUACUUAAUUUUAUGGCAAUUCGGAUCUUGGUAGCUAUGGUUGUUAUUUUAAUGAUUGUGCACCUGCAUGAUCACCUCAUAUGUUAGUGGAUAUGUAUAAAAUCAACCCAAACUGCCUGACAACAAAUAUCUUCUUUUAAAAUGAACAAGAUUAGGUACCGAAAGGGCACUAAUUGGUCAAUUAGUGUAAUCAAGUCCCCGACCCUAAAUUCUCUGGUUGUGUAGGAAGUGUGGCACACUCCCAUACCUCACUUGGUUUCUAGCCGACCCCAAUAAACUAGUGGUGAUUCAUUUUUGUGAAAAUCUUUAAAAAUAUCCCAAUGUCAAUCGAUGUAUGGGCUUGGGAGAGCUCGUGCCUAAUCAUGGAACUUAAGUCCGUCCUUUAUGCAAUACCCCUAAACCUGUUCUCUCCCCCCGAGGGGUAGGUCGCGACAACCAAAAAUUGGCUUAUGAUGAAUGGUGAUUUGAUAUUUUCGGUGAUAUGGAGUUGGAUUUUUUGUAUAUUCAUGCAAUCCAUUCAUAUAUCCUUAGUAAGGGUAAACGUGGGAAGGAAAUAUUGUGAUCACAUCUUUGCAAGGUUCAAAAUCUAGGAAAACUCUAUUAUGAUCUUGAAUUUUUGGCAAUGCUUGAUCAAUAAGUGGGCUAGUAUUUGGGUUAAAGAAAUAAAAUUAGUGGAGAAUAUUCAUCUUGCAUGGUCCAAUGUGGAAAGAUACGAUCAUAUGCACAAAGGAAAUUCGGAACAUAAAAGAUUAGCACCAGAAGGGAAUGUCGGGCUCGUUCUUCAUUGAAAGCGCAAGGAUUUGCAAAGAAAAGAUAUAUGCCUACAGAGAAGGCAUUCAAUCAAUGAGGAAGAGGAAAGGAAAUAGAAUAUAUUUUAAAGCAUGAACAGAAGGAAGCAAACUAUGCUUUAUUUCCUUGAUGGUUUACACCCUUUCACUAUAAAUGGACUCAUUACAGGACAGAGAGGGGGGCCACACAAUUGAGAAUACAGAGAGAGAGAGAGAGAGAGAGAGAGAGAGAGAGAGAGAGAGAGAGAGACCUCCUGCCACACCUACUUGAUGAAUGAUCUCGUGUCUUUGUGGGAGAGAAAGAUUGGCAAGACCCUAGAGAAUGUUUAUAUUCCAGAGGAGCAAAUUCUGAAGAAAAUUUGAGGUCACAGAUGCAUUAAUAUUAGAUUUCAGCAUGUGGAAAUUGUCUAUAUUCUCUAUCAUAUUCAAACCUUUUGAUGUCCAUCGAUCUACUUGUCCACUCAUAUUAUAGAUGUGAAAUCUCCAGAUGAUCUGAUGUGGGCCAUAUACCAUUCUAUUUUUGUGAAAGGAGACCAAACUAACUUUCAAAUUGAGCCGUCAUUCGGAGUGGAAGCUUUGGAACUCUACCCCAAUGUCAAAUUCAGUACCAUGGAUAAGUACCUUGAUUAGUUUGUUUGAUUGUCGAAACUUACUGUGCUUGAGGAUUUGAUUUCUCACAUCAGCUUGGAAUCAGAAAUGGUAAUAGAAUUCUGCUUCUUACGAACCUAGUGUGAAACGUCGCUCCCAUUGAUCAUCUCAUGGCAUUGUACAACCUCCAGCUAUUAAGACCUACUAUGGGUGCGUUUGGGACUUACUUUGCAAAUGGGCUUUGGCCACUUAAAGGCCUUUUGGCCAAAUAUUAAGUGUUUGGGAAAGGUUUUACAAACCCCAUUUGGGGAAGGCUGGCUUUCUAAAGGCUGGAAGCCCAAGGCUAGUCUGGGGGUGCCUUGAGCUUUCAAGCUUCAGGAAAGGCUUACGAGACACUAUUCAUCAAAUUUGCGAAACACUAUGCAUCUUCUUCAUUGAGGUGGACAUUCAGGUUGAGCAGGGUCAUGAAUGGCCGAUGACGAAGUAGAGAGAGGCUGGUGACGAUCACAACCACCCAAGUGACGGUCGUCGGUGGGUCGGGUGAUUUGGUCACGCGACUCUUGCUGAGACCCUUGCCUGAGGUCAUUGGGGUCGCGCGACCCCCGGCACAGUGGCCCUCGCCAAAGGUCUCGCUUGGGUCUCGCGACCCCCGGUGAGAUCGUCGCCUAAGGUCGCGCACCAAGCAGCCCUUGGGCCACACAACCUCAAGCAAGGGUCUCGCCGGAGGUCACGAGACCCAAGCAAGACCUUUGGCAAGGGCGGUUGCGCCGGGGGUUGCGGAACCCCAACCGAGACAUUGCCGAGGUCGUCGGCACAGGCGAGCUCGCCAAGGCCGCACGACCUCAAGCAAGGGUCUCGCCUAUGGGUGGCGACCUCGACGAGGGUCUCGGCCGGCAUUGCGCGACCCUUGCCAGGGGUCGCUCGACCGCAGGUGACCCUCACCAAGGCCACGCGAUCUCAGGCGAGGGUCUCGCCUGGGUCACCGGCAAUCGCCCGACCCCAGGCGGCCCUCGCCGAUGGUCUCUGAGGGCCGCCUAAGGUCCGACAACCUCAAACGAUGGCCGCCGUGGCACUUAAAGUCCUUUACAUUUUCCCAAGGAAUUUUCGCAAAAAUCUAAUCAAACACACCCUAUGAAUACUGAGUGUGUGCUCAUCUGUGCUGUGUGCUUGGAGAAGUCACUUAUGUUUUGGAGUUGUUUUGGGUUUAACGACUAGCUAAUGAAUAAAAAAAGGAAAAGGGUUUAUGGUGUCAUGCCAAAAGCCUUUUGGGUAAAACCUAAUUGACUUCUCAACCCUAGAAGACUUAAUUAGACAAAUUGAAAGUACAAGGAAUUAAUUAGAACAGGGGUGAAAAGUAUGAAUCUUCCUUUUUCAUUCACGUAGUAGAGCAUAGUUGAUACUCACUUUUCUGAAAUCAAGUACUUUGUCGGUACUUUGUCGGUCUUGGAAGAUCUCCUCAGAAUCUAAACUCGAGGUUUACAUAGUAGAUUUUUUUUAUAGAAGUCGGUAAGGAUGAUAUUUCUAUCACCAAUUGUUGAAGGGUAAGCUUAAAGAAUAGCAAGUUAAAACCCAUUGAUAAUACCUUGCGGUGUUGGAUUAUCCUUAAUAUUUCGAGGACUGUUAUGGGCAUGGAACAAGCAAGAAGAAAGAGAGGCAUGUGUCACGGUCUGUGAAUCCUCCCAUACUCAUGACACUUGUGAAUGGUGCUUGGGGUUAUCGAGUGAAGAGUGAGGAGGCAGAAGGGACGAACACAACUGGUUCGUGGGAGUGGCGUUAGGACGGUUGGUGCUGGGAGUUCUAGGAUAGAAAGAUUAUAUCACUUAGGAGCUCUGAAGGCAAGGAUAGCCUCCCGUGCACAAAUUGGUGGGGAGCUGAUGCCGCUCUCCUGACGAGGCCAUGGCAGGCCGAAACCAGUUAUUGAAGCUAAAGAGAUCUACUGUCUCACUUGAUGGACUAGAUACUCGAGCGAAGUUGAGCAUGGUAGGAUCUCGCACGAAGAAGCAUUCAUCGUAUAGUUCAUGGAACAGCUAAAGAAGAAAGGCUGGCCUGGUGAAUUCUGUUCGUCAGGCACCGCACGGGUCGUUCCGAGGCCAAGGAAACUCUCGGCCUGUGACAAGUGGUAUCAGAUCAAGAAUCCCUCUAGUAAGUUAGCAAGUCGGAGAAUUGAACUUCUCGCUUUAGUGCAGGUCGAACUGAUAAGUGCCCGGUCCGGUCCUAGUGAAUGAAGAGUGAAUGGAUGGGGCAAAAGAUGCUCAAACGAAGCUGGGCUCUCUAUUCCUAGGAUGGCAUUGGUACUAGGACAAGUCAAUUCCUUGCCAAGCUGAUAGGGAGUUGGAGAAGAACCGAACCCUUACUGAAUAGGGAUAACGUUCCUGGAUCGAUCGAUGAAUUCAAAGAAGAUGUCUACUGCCACGUUUUCAACAAGGAAAGAACCUCCAUUUGGUCUGCUUGGGUCAAAGAAGCUAUGUAGGCAAAAUGGUGCUGCCAAAAGAAAUGCCACACUCUCCAAAGAAAACGCAAGUGACCGAGAAAAGCCAAGUGGUUGAGAUCAAAAAAAGGCUAUCAAUGGAGCAAAACCUAUUUUGUUGGGCGAGCGUGACCAUUCGAUGUGAAAUCCCAAAAAGUGGCACAUCAAUGGUUAAGGGACACAAGGAAGCGACAGAGCAGAUUGCAACGAGGGCGUUGCAAAUUGAAUGGGGGAGAAUGUCACGGUUCGUGAAUCCUCCCGUACUCGUGACAUUUGUGAGUGGUGCUUGGGGUUAUCGAGUGAAGAGUGAGGAGGCAGAAGGGAAGAACACAACUGGUCCGUGGGAGUGGCGUCAGGACGGUUGAUGCUAGGAGUUCUAGGAUAGAAGGAUUAUAUCACUUAGGAGCUCUGAAGGCGGGGUUGGCCUCCCGUGCACAAACUGGUCAGGAGCUAAUGCCGCUCUCCUGACGAGACCAUGGCAGGUCGAAACUAGUUGUUGAACCUAAAGAGAUCUGUUAUCUCACUCGAUAGACUAAACACUUGAGCAAAGCUGGGCGUAAUAGGAUCUCGCACGAAGAAGCAUUCAUUGUAUUGUUCGUGGAACUGUUAAAGAAGAAAGGCUGGCUUGGCGAUUCCAUUCAUUAGGUGCCAAACGAGUCGUUUCGAGGCCAAGGAAACUCUUGGCCCAUGAUAAGUGGUAUCAGAGCAAGAAUCCCUCCAGUAAGUGAGCAAGUCGGAGAAUCGAACUUCUCGCUUUAGUGCGGGUCGAACUGAUAAGUGCCCGGUCCGAUCCUAGUGAACGGAGAGUGAAUGGCCGAGGCAAAAGAUACUCAAACGAAGCUGAGCUCUCUGUUCCUAGGAUGGCAUUGGUACUGGGACAAGUCGGUUCCUUGCCGAGCUGAUAGGGAGUUGGAGAAGAACUGAACCCUUACUGAAUAGGGAUAACGUUCCUAGAUCGAUUGGUGAAUUCGAAGAAGAGGUCUACUGCCACGUUUUUAACAAGGAAAGAACCUCUAUUUGGUCUACUGGGGUCAAAGAAGUUGUGUAGGCAAAAUGGUGCUGCCAAAAAGAUGCAAUUAACGAACAAUGUCAAACUUGCCAAAGAAAGCGCAGGUGACCGAGAAGAGCCGAGCGGCUAAAAUCAAAAAGAUGCUACCGAUGGAGCAAAACCUGUUUUGUUGAGCGAGCGUGACCAUUCGAUGUAAAAUCUCAAAACGUGGCACAUCAAUGGUUAAGGGACGCAAGGAAGCGACAGAGCAGAUCGCAACGAGGGCGUUGCGAAUUGAGUGGGGGAGAAUGUUACGGUCCGUGAAUCCUCCCGUACUCAUGACACUUGUGAGUGGUGCUUAGGGUUAUCGAGUGAAGAGUGAGGAGGCAGAAGAACGAACACAACUGGUUCGUGGGAGUGGCGUCAGGACGAUUGGUGCUAGGAGUUCUAGGAUAGAAUGAUUAUAUCACUUAGGAGCUCUGAAGGUGGGGUUGGCCUCUCAUGCACAAACUGGUCAGGAGCUGAUGCCACUCUCCUGAGGAGGCCAUGGCAGACCGAAACCAGUUGUUGAAUCUAAAGAGAUCUGCUGUCUCACUUAAUGGACUAGAUGCCCGAGCAAAGCUGAGCGUGGUAGGAUCUCACACGAAGAAGCAUUCACUGUAUUGUUCAUGGAACAGCUAAAGAAGAAAGGUCGGCCUAGCGAAUUUCGUUCAUCAGGCGUCGCACGGGUCGUUCCGAGGCCAAGGAAACUCUCAGCCCGUGACACAUGCAUGAUGAAUCUGGACACCUCACAAACCAAUUUCUUCACUAAUCAUGGUGGGCGCAGACUCGUGUCCUUUCCUAAUUAAGAAAGUCCAAUAAGGCGAUGUCUACGUAAUACUGUGUUUACUUUACAAAUUACGUAAAUUGCAAUUUCACAUUUCAUAUGAAUGAUCUAAGUAUAAAAUCUUUUCCAUUUAAUGAUAAAGAAACUAUCUUACUACGUGCUUAAUAUGUGUGUAUUGAACUCACUCUUUAGAACCGGAAUCAAUCUAAAAGUCUCGGUUUCCUUUUCUUAAGAACUUGUGAAUUUGAAAAUAUAGAAAUCUUAUGUUGCCCAAAAAAUCAAAAAGAGUAAUCUCUUGAUCAACCCCACUUUGGAAAGAAUCUAGUGCACCUCAAAACAAUCAUUUACCGAUAUGAAACGUUGUGAUAGCAUGCAUACCAUGCAAGCACAUGCACGUUGGAUAGCUCAUUGCCCUUUCAUAUUGUUUUCACUAGUCUUUUCAUAUGAUACAAAAAAAUAGUCUCAACUUUUAUUUACAUGAAAAAUCAUUAUAAGUUAUAAUAGUCUAAUAUUGAUUGAGAAACAAAAUCAUCAUACAAAAUAAAUUAGAAACUCUAAUCCUUCAAAAUUAAGAUUACUUAAAUCUUUAGCACCAUCCAAACUUAAGUGUAGAUUUUCUUAUUUUUAGUAAGUUUUUCACAAUAAUUUGAAUCAUCUCUCAAACUCGACAAAAUCUUUAUUGAAGUGCUUUAUAUUAGAUUUUAUUCUGUUUCUAUUAGUCCCCUUCGCACGUACAUCUUUUCCAGCUAAUGAUGAUAUCAAGAAGUUCACACAAACGACAUCUAUGCCUUUCUGAAAUAAAAAACAGAUGAACGAUUCAUCUCGGAUCCCGCCAACAUUUACGGCCCUAGACCGAGCAAGUUCGCAGGGAAAACCACACUGCUGGCAGAAAGAACGGGAAAAGUGUUAAAAAAAAAAGUCAAACAUUUUGCAUUUAUGCCAAUUUAAUUUUAAACAUUUUUUUGAUGCCAAUUAAAUCUUAAAUAUUUUUACGUUGUGCAAAUUUAGUAUUUUCCGGCCAAUUUCAGCCAGAUUUUACUAACUGAACAACGGCCGACUGACAUGAACAACUUUUAAUAAUAUUUUAAUAUUCUUUCUUUUCUUUUUUUCUUUUUUCCUUUUCCUCCUUCUUUUCUAGCCGGUCGCUGGCUCGAUGACCAGCUAGAGGCGACGGCCGACGAGGUCAACCUCGACCUCGCCGGCCACCUCGCUAGUGGCCGCAAGGGCGGCCUCAUGCUGAGCAGUGAGGCUCGCCCUUGCCAAAUCCGACAAGGGUCGAGCCCCACCCGCCCAGCGCAAGGCUGCCCUCGAGGCCUGGGCGACGAGCCUCACCUUCGUCAGAUCUGGCAAGGCUCACCCUCGUCGGAUCUAGCGAGGGUCGAGCCUCGCCCAUGGCUAGCAAGGACGAGCCCCGCCAACUCGACGCGAGGCUAGCUCGAGGCCACCCAGGCCAUGAGGGCGAGCCCUCACCGCCCAAGCCUUGAGAGUGGCCUCGCACUGGACAGGCGAGGCUCGCCCUCGCUGGAUCUGGCGAGGUCAAGUCUCGCUAGCCAUUGGCGAGGCUCAACCCUUGCUAGCGCAAGGCUUCCCUCGCGGCCGCCGGUGAGGUCGACCUCAACCUCGCCGGCCAUCGCCUCUGGCUGAUCGUCGAGGUCCGGCAACCGACUAAAGGACGAAGGAGGAGAAGGAAAAAUUAAAAAUUAAAAUAUUAUUAAAAUAUUAUUAAAAAUUGUCAACGUCAACGUUGAUUAGGCCACAUCAGCCGGCCGGCGUCUAAUCAGCAAAAUCUAGCCAAAAUUUACCGGAAAUGACUAAAUUGGUACAACGUAAAAAUGUUUAUGACUUAAUUGGCACCAAAAAAAAGUUUAGGACUUUUUUAACAUUUUUUUCCGAAAAGAAACUUAGGUGGCCACGAAGAACAAAGUCAUGAUGAUCGGAGGCAUUGCAUGCCUCGAAAGUACAUAGUUGAAGCGAGUGCUAAGUCCGGUCGCCUUACCUUUGCUCUCGUGAGGGAGCCUGGUCUCUCCGAUCCCACCAAGGUCAACAUCGCCCAAGGUUUCAAGAGCUUAGGCGUCAAAUUUUUCAUGUGUGUAUCGUGUUGUGAGGAGUCACUACGGUGCAAUUAUGUUCGUUUCCGACAUCAACUUGAACCAUAAGUUAUAUAGGAUUCUGAUUCUCCGCAUCCCGCUAAUCAUCUCAUGGCACGUGCAACUUUCAAUACGAGGACAUAGUAGGAACAUUUGAUGUGCGAGGCUUCUUUGCAACGCUUGGAGGAGUUACUUCUAUUUUGAAUUUGAUAUGAGUUUUUCUAUUUCUGUAUAGUAUACGUUUUAUGUCGUCGGUGUGGGUAUUGAAUUCGAGCCGCUGAUGAUGUACGAUAAUUCACCUAAUUUCCUGGUCUUAGACUAAAAUAUAAUUUUAUUUUAAGAGUCAUUUGUUUCGCAAAAAAUAAAUAAUUUGGAAGAAAAAAUAUCUCAAAAAUGAUUAUUUGUAUCGCUUAUAAAAUGAACGGACAAAAAAUAUUUCCAUCGUCUAUAAAAAUAUUUAGACAUAUUUUGUUGUUGAUAAUAACAACAUUUUUCAUCGACUAAUCAUUUAAAAUAUGCAAGUAAUCAUUUUUUAGAAAAAUGUUUUUUAAAUUAUUUAUUUUUUACGAAACAAAUACUUUAUAUAUCUAAAUACUUUAUUCAUUUUUCAUGUCUAAAUAGUCUGUAGGUAGUCAUUAUGGUGAAAUCAAAUACUUUAUAAAUCCUCGAAAAUCUGAAGGUAAUUGAAGCUCCGGGUUUCCUUAGCUGACGAAAUCUCCUUUCAUGAAUGAUAAACUUAAAAGAAUAACAAGUUUAAGGAUUCUUACUGCGGGGAACAAACAAGGCAAAGAAAAAAAGGCAAAUAUUCGAUUGAAUAUGGUACCAUAACAAUUAUCUACGUGAGGUCAAGUAAUAAUCUUGUUGAUCCAUUGAUGAAGGCUUUAUCAAGACAUAUGGUAAUAAUGACCUCACAAGAAAUAGGGCUGAAACCCUUUAAUUGAAAUCAUCAAUAAUGGUAAUCCGACAUUUUUUCUAAAACAUCACUAGUUACAAGGUUUAAUGGGUAAGAACAAGUUAUUAAAUGUGAUUAUUUGAUACUGACGUAACCCUAAAAAGUCAGUAUCGUCUAUUACGUUUUGUAGGUUAAAUUGAAUUCUUAAUGAAGUAUAAUACAAAUUUAUAAUGUGUUAAUAGUAAUAGAAACACAUGAUAGAUACUUCACCUAUAUGAGCUUAGAAGUGAUGCCGCUUCUUACGAAAGUGAGGGUUGCUUUCUAGAGAGCUCAUGAAACAGGAUCAAGCACAAGGCUAUAAUAGUGCAGAGUAAUAUAGAACUUCUUGCUAAAACAAGAGGUUAGUGUAUGUACAGUAUGUCCGAUUCUAUUACAUAAAAGUACAAAUUUAAAGCCGAGCUAUUUGUCACUUUGAUAGAGCUUUGAUAUACUUGCACUAAGUAAAAGUUUAAUUCGAAAGAGACCUUUAUAUAUGUAUAUUAUUCUUACUGAAAUUUUGGUUGUACGGUUUUAAAAUUUUAAUUUUGAAAUCUUUGUUUUACAAACAAAAUGGGGGAUUGUUGGAGGUUUGUUUGUAAAAAUAAACUAAGUGCAUUUUCCUUGUCUCACCUAGGAAAAGUGGGAAGAAGUGGGCCAAUUAAUAAGUGUGGGGUUUCCUUUGUGUACCUAAAGGAAUGAUUAGGUGGGGCUAGACCCCACCAUAUCCGUGUGCGAGUGCGCAAUUUAUUUGGCGCACUUUGCGCGCCCGCGGUUUAAUUAACACUAACCCCUUUGUUAUUUUAUUUUUUCUUUCAUACGGUUAUCUUAUUAACUUUAAUCAAUUCAAAUGUUGCUUUUUAGUUUUGAGAAUUUUCGAAAAUUAUUAAAAAAUAAAAAUUCGAAAUUGUAUUUAUUUUAAAAAAAUUAUUAUUUCGAAUUUUUAUUUGUGUCUUUUCAAGAUAACCUUUGAAAAAGAUAUUUGUUCAAUUUGCAACUUUUCCCGAAGGGUUGCAAUUGUUCAUUUUUUAACUUCUUCCAAAUGGACACCUUUGUUUAUCUAGACAAUUUUUGAAAUGCCUUGUUUGUUCAUUUUUUUUGCAAUUUUUCACGAAGAGUUGCAUGUGUUUUAAGAGUGUUUUAUAUAUAUAUACAUGUCAGUUUUCGGAAAAAUGAAAGUGAUCAUUGUUUAUCUUUUCGAGCAUUCUUUCUGAAAACUACAGCCAUCAUUUUAAUUAUUUCCUGGAGAGGCCAUGGAGAAAUACUAGAAUUGUUAUCUAAUAUUCUUAUUUUGAGACUUUGUUGUAUCUUGAAUGAUAUUUGCCGGUAACUAUUAGCAAUGUUAUGGGGCAAAUAACUCCUUAAAGAAAAUGAUAUUACAUCUCAAAGUCCGACUUGAGUAUUCUAAAGAUCCAUCUUCAUUGUUUUACCCAAUUCGAAGCCAUAUUUUCCCAACAUGAACAACUCUCGAACCAGACUUGCAGAUGCUGGUCUGACUCGAUGAAUCCUUCCGUAAUUUGCUUACUGCCUACCAUCCGCGUGGACUCUUGUGUCCUUUUCUUUUCAAGAAAUCUACGGUGUGGUGGCUUUUAGUGUGGAUAUCUUCCUUUUUGUGAAUGAUUUUUCGUAAAUUCAUCCAUUUACGGUAGCUAAGCAUGUGAAAUUAUGAAAAGCAAAUUUCAGGAAACCCUUUUUAGCAAAACAAGCACUCAAAGGUCACCAAAAAAAAAAAAACAAGCACUCAAAUGAUAUGCAUUUUCAAUUUCGAAUUGGUGAUCUAAACAUUGAAUCUUUUGCAUUUAAUGAUAAAGAGUAUCAUUUAUAUAUGUCUAAUUUACUAGCAUCAUGCUCCCUAUUCAAUCAAUGAGCCAAUCUAACAAGGUUAGUCUCCUUCAAGAAGUUAUGAAUUGUUUACAAGAUAAUGUUUUGUUGGCCAAAAAGUUAAAAAAUUAAUUAAUAUGGUUGAACCUAGAGGAAAAAAGAAAUGGCACCUCAAAACAAUCAUAGAGCGACUAUGAAGCUCCGUGAUAUCAUGUAUAUAUGUGCAUCUGCAUGUCCAAUAGCUCAUUGUCCUCUCAUACCAUUUUAUCUUAUUAUUUCAUAUGAUAAAGUAAACCUAAAAAAUGGUUUCAACUUCCUUUUUAUCAAUGACAUAAAAAAUCAUGGUAAAUUAUAAUAGUACAAUAUCAAUUGAGAAAACAAAAUAUAGUUUCAAUUAAACAGUAUUUCUAACACUUCAAAAUUAGGAUUACUUAAAUUUCUAACACCAUCCAAACUUAAAUUUGGAAUUUCUUAAUCUAGGCAAGUUAAGUUUUUCUCAUUUCACAAAAAAAUGAAUCAUCUCUCAAAUUAGACAACAUCAUUAUUAGAAUACUUUAUAUUUUAUUUUCCUCCAUUUCUUUUUUCAGGACUAAUACCAUAAAAAUAAAAAAUAAAAAUAAAAACUCAAACUAGUACGUCCAUAUUAUAUUUACCAAAAAUUAAUUUUUAUAUCACAAAAAAAUUUAUAUUGUUUUAUUCAUGUCACAUUUGUCCAAAAUUUGCAGUAAUUUUUUACAUUGAAAAUUAGUUCGGGAUGACAUUUGUAUUCAGCCGGAGAAUAUUUUAGGUAAAAAAGUUAAUUUAGGAUAAAUGUGACGGAGAAUUAAUUUCAUGCACUUUUUUCUGGUGAAGGAUCAGAUUGAGAAGUCAAUACGCUGGAAGGACAAUUCAUUGAAAAGACAAUUACGCCCUUCUGGAACCAAAAGAUAAUUUUAAAUUGGCUCCGUGUAGAAGAGCCCCCGGCAUUUUUGCGCGCUCUCUCCCUUUCUCGCAGACACAGUUGGAGCACUACGGAGACCGACCGAGCUCGCCGGAGAAAAUCCACCGACUCCGCCGUGAAAAACCCCUCCGAGAUGGCGGAGAAGAGCAAAGUCCUGGUGAUCGGAGUCACCGGACUCAUCGGAAAGUUCGUCGUGGAAGCGAGUGCUAAGUCCGGCCACCCUACCUUCGCUUUCGUGGAACCGCUGUCCACUCCGUCCGACGCUGCCAAGACCAACUUCGUCCAAGGUUUCAGGAGAUUAGGCGUCUACGUAGUUCUGGUGAGUAGCUAGCUAUGCCCGUGCGAUCGCGUUCGUUUCCGACAUCGGGUUCCGCUUCGAGGAACCGAAAGCGUCACCUGCCGUUGAAUCUUGUUCGUCGUUCCGAGAAACGUCUUCGGCAGUAGAAUCGGAGCUGACUUUCGUCUCCAUCUCUCACUCGAUCGAGCUGAUUGGAAUCACGUUGCGAUUCGGCGUUGUUCAUUGUCUUUUCUGAUAUUUUGUCCUCGUAUGUUGGCGAAAUAGGCGAAAUUUUUUAUGACGUCCUUCUCACUUUCUCACUGCCUGACGAUUCAUCUCAGCUUCGCGUGUUGAUUCGAACGCGCGCAUUUUCAGACAAAUCUUACAGAAACUUCCUUAUGCCUUCGCUGUUUAUGAGACAGCUACAGCUACGUAGUAACUGCACUGACCUGUUGUUCAGAUGCCACGGAGGAGAAGUCUGUGGAUAGUAGCAUUUUUUUUUUUUAUCAUAUUUUUCUUUAUUGCCUGAUAAAGGUAUUGAAGUCUUAUCUUACAUCGGUUAUGAAUCCCAUCGCCAAAACAGGAGUUGUUGAUUGCUGACUUCAUCAAUUGUUUAUUCAUGCUCUUGGUCAUUUGAUUCUCAGGGAGACAUAAACGUUCCACAUACUCUGGUGAAUGUGAUGAGGCAGGUUGAUGUGGUAAUCUCUACUGUUGAGACAUCACCGGAUGACCAAUACAAGAUUGCUGCUGCCAUUUUGACGGCCGGAAAUAUAAAGGUGGUGCUGUGACUAAUCAUUUUGUCCUCGUUAUCAUUGUUCGUUUAGCAUUCGACUGAUGAUAUAAGUUGUGUUAGCUUACUUCUUUUCUUCUGGUAUUAGUGCAUAGCGUUCUCCUUGUGAGCUUCAUUUGAUCAAAUGGGAUGCAUUGACUCAUUUAUCUGUAGACUUCACAUCUUUUUUCAUCUUAAUUGGUCAUGACUCUGUGUAGAAGUCCCUGUGGGUUUGGGUUUCCUCUAGGUCAGCCAAAAAAACAAAAAUAAAUAACAUAAAAGGUCUCAGUCACUCAAUAUGGACUAUGGACUUGUAUCCCAGCGCUUCGAUCAUGAAUUCGCGAGGAACAUGAACUAGUUUAACCUUGAAAUGGUCCUUUUCAGGGUAUAAUUGUUGCAUGUAUGUUAUCCAACCCCACUUACUGGGAUAGUACUUAGUAGUAAUCGUUGUUGCUGCGGGUGGUUGACAGCCAACAAUGAGUGGAACUCAGCAUGCUCCGAAAAGGCAAUGGACUUGCCUGAUAUUUUAUCACUGUGAAAGUGUCCAUUCAAGCAAGCAGCAUGUUUGCAUAUUUUAUACUUGACAGAGUUAUCUGGCUGCUGCCUAACAUUAAAAUAUUCACUUUCCAUUUCUUCUACUUUUCUAAUAACACUUAUGGUAGAAUUUGCUUAUUUGCUGAAUUUAUUGCUUCACUUAUGAUCAGUUUUUACUCUGUUAUAGUAACAUACUGACCAAAAAAAAAAAUGUUAAAUUCAGUCACGUACAAGUUUGUUCUGUUUUAUUUUGCCAGAACUCAUAUAAUUUUAUUGGAUAAGGGGAAUGUGCUCCAAAUUUUCGUUCCUUUCCAAUGGAAAUGUUUCUUCUGAUUGGAUUAUUUUUCUUUCUAGAGAUUCUUGCCUUCAGUGUUUGGAAGUGAUGUGGAUCGUGCCCAUGCUGUGGAGCCAGCAAGAACUUUUUAUGCUGCUUACUAUACCGACAUCCACCGCCUUCUCGAGGAAGAGGGAAUCCCGUAUACCUAUGUGUGUUGUAACUUUCUUGUAGGUUGGCACCGUUCAACAUUGGUGCAGCCCAGGGCUAGAGCUGCCUCUAGAGAGAGAAUUGUCAUCUUAGGGGAUGGUAAUGCGAAAGGUAAGAAGCAUGAAAUACCUAUUAUGAUUCGUCAGGAUUUUUCUGUACAACUUUUGCGAUUUAAUUACGAGGGUAAUCAGAGUGAGGACAAUUCCUGAAGCUUGAGAAUGCCAGGCAACUCCUCUAGCUGGAGAUGUCGGGCCUUUUACAUCCGUUAUUCUCGACUUCCGGAGACCAAUAAAUGAUAUGAAAGUGAUGUUGGUUAUCUUGGCACAAUACCGCCUGGUCAGCAUAUUAAGAAGGUUUUCUUAUGUAUCUAGUUGAGAAAAGAACUUAUGAAUGCAUUCGUCCAUGAUGAAUCUUUUUAUUGAGAGAGUUCUUUAAAUAAGAACCAAAAGAUCAAAGUUUUUGUGAUAUAUUUAUUAGCCAAAUUCUAAAAUUCUCCUGUCAAUGUACAGUGGUGUUUAACAGGGAGGAUGAUAUCGGCACCUAUACCAUCAAAGCCAUGGAUGAUCCUAGGACCUUGAACAAAAUUCUGUACAUCAGACCUCCUGGCAACACUUACUCAAUGAAUGAUCUCGUGUCUUUGUGGGAGAGAAAGACCGGCAAGACCCUGGAGAGGGUUUAUGUUCCAGAGGAGCAAGUUCUGAAGAAAAUUCGAGGUCACAAAUGCGUUACUAUUAGAUUUGAGCACGUAGAAAUUGUCUCUAUUCUCUAUGAGAUUUAAACCUUUUGACAACGAUUGGUCUACUUGUCCGCCCAUAUUGCAGAUGUGAAAUCUCCAGACGAUCUGGUGUGGGCCAUAUCCCAUUCUAUUUUCGUGAAAGGAGACCAAACUAACUUCCAGAUUGAGCCGCCGUACGGAGUGGAAGCUUCAGAGCUCUACCCUAAUGUUAAAUAUAGCACCGUGGAUGAGUACCUUAAUCAGUUUGUCUGAUUGUCGAAGCUUACUGUGCUUGGGGAUUUGAUUUCUCACAUCAGCUUGGAUACACAAAUGGUAAUAGUAUAUUGCUUCUCACAAACCUAGUGGGAAACGUCGCUCCCAUUGAUCAUCUCAUGGCACUGUACAACCUCCAGAUAAUAAGACUUACUGUGCUUGGGGAUUUGAUUUCUCACAUCAGCUUGGAUACACAAAUGGUAAUAGUAUAUUGCUUCUCACGAACCUAGUGGGAAACGUCGCUCCCAUUGAUCAUCUCAUGGCACUGUACAACCUCCAGAUAAUAAGACAUACUAUGAAUACUGAAUAAGUGCUCAUCUGUGCUGUAUGCUUGGAGAAGUUACUUCUGUUUUGGAGGUGUUAUGUGUUCAGGGGCUAGCUAACAAAUAAAAAAAGGACGAGGGUUUAUGGUGUCGUGCCAAAAGCCUAUCCCGAGUUUGGGUAAAACCUAAUUGACUUAAUUAGACAAAUUGAAAGUACACGGACUUAAUUGGAGAAUCGGAAAAAGUAGAGGGGUGAAAAGUAUAAAUCUUCCGCUUUUAUUCUCGUAGUGGAGCAUUGUCGAUGCACGAUUUUGAAGUCAAAUAAUUUACAUGUCCUCGAAGAUCUCCUCGGAAUCUAAACUCGAGGUUUAACUCGAGGUUUACUUAGCAGAUUAUAUAUAUAUAGAAGUCAGCAAGGAUGAUGUUUUACCGACCAAAAAAAGCAAGGAUGAUGUUUUUGUUGCCACUUGGUGAAGGGUAAGCUUAAAGAAUAGCAAAUUAAAAUCCAUUGAUGAAUACCUCGCGGUGUUGGAUUAUCCUUAAUGAUUUGAGGACUGUCAUGGGCAUGGAACAAGCAAGAAAAAAGAGAGGCAUGUGUCACGGUCCGUGAAUACUCUCAUACUUGUAACACUUGUGAGUGGUACUUGGAGUUAUCGAGUGAAGAGUGAGGAACACUUGUGAGUGGUGCUUGGAGUUAUCGAGUAAAGAGUGAGAAGGCAGAGGGGACGAACACAACUGGUCCGUGGGAAUGGCGUCAAGACGAUUGGUGAUAGGAGUUCUAAGAUUGAAUAAUUAUAUCACUUAGGAGCUCUAAAAGCGAGAUUUGCCUCUCAUGCACAAACUGGUUGGGAGCUGAUGCCCCUCUCCUGACAAAAUCAUGAUAGGCCGAAAUCAAUUGUUGAGCCUAAAGAGAUCUGCUAUUUCACUCAAUGGACUAGACGUCCGAGCAAAACUAGGCAUGGUACUAUCUCAUACAAAGAAGCUAUUCACCAUAUUGUUCGCUAGAACAACUAUAAAAGGAAGGCUGGCUUGGCGAAUUCCGCUUACCAAGCGCUGCACAAGUCGUUCCGCGGCCAAGGGAACUAUCGAUUAGUGACACAUGGUAUCAGAGCAGGAAUCCCUCUAGUAAGUAAGUGAGUCGGAGAAUUGGACUCCACGCUCUAGUGUGAGUUGAACUGAGAAGUACUAGCUAUCUACCCGGUCCUACAAGGCAGAGAGUGAAUCACCGAGGCAAAAGGUACUCGAACAAAGUGCAACUCUCUAAAGCCCCUAGGAUGACAAUGGGGGCACUAGGAAGAGUCAGUUCCUCGCCAAGCGGAUAAUGGGUCUGAGAAGAACCAAAUCCUCGCUAAUAGGGAUAACAUUCCUAGAUCGAUCAGUGAAUUCAAAGAAAAGGUCUACUACCACGUUUUCAACAAGAAAAGAAUCUCCAUUCGAUUUGUUGGGGUCAAGAUACUUAGUAGGCAAAAAUGGUGCCACCAAAGAUGCAAUCGGCAAAAAAUGCCACACUUGCCAAAGAAAGUGCAAGUGACCGAGAUGGGCCCAAACAACUGAGAUAAAAAAAGGCUACCAAUGGAGCAAAACCUAUUUUGUUGGGCAAGCGUGACCAUUAGAUGUGAAAUCCCAAAAGUGGCGCAUCAAUGGUUAAGAUACGCGAGGAAGCGACAAAAUAGAUCGCAAUGAGGGCGCUGCGAAAUUGAGUGGGAGAGAAUGUCAUGGUCCAUGAAUUCUCUCGUACUCAUGACACUUGUGAGUGAUGCUUAGAUUAUUGAGUGAAAAGUGAGGAGGCUGAGGGGAUGAACACAACUGGUCCGUGGGAGUGAUGUCAGGACGGUUGGUACUAGGAGUUCUAGGAUAGAAGGAUUAUAUCAUUUAAGAGCUCUAAAGGCGGGGUUGAUCUCCCGUGCACAAACUGGUUAUGAGCUGAUGCCGCUCUCCUGACGAGGCCAUGAUAGACAGAAACCAAUUAUUAAGCUUAAAGAGAUUUGCUAUCUUACUUAAUGGACUAGACGCCUGAGCAAAAGUAGGCGUGGUAGGAUCUCGUACAGAAAAGCUAUUCACCAUAUUGUUCGCUGAAAUAACUAUAGAAGGAAGGCUGGCCUAGCAAAUUCCACUUGCCAGGUGCCGCACAGGUUGUUCCGCGGCCAAGGGAACUGUCGGCCUAUAAUACAUGCACAAUAAAUUUGGACACCUUGCAAACCAAAUUUUUUACUAAACACCAAGAGUGAGUACUCAUAUCCUUUCCUAAGCAAGAGAGUCCAAUAAGGCAGUGUCUACAUAGUACCGUGUUAACUUCAUAGAUUAGGUAAAUUGCAAUUUCAAAUUUCAUAUGGACAAUUUAAACAUUAAAUCUUUUCCAUUUAAUGAUAAAGAGACUAUCUUACUACUUGCUUAAUAUAUGUGCAUUGAACUCACUCUUUAGCAGCGGAAUCAAUCUAAAAACCUCGGUCUCAUUUUUUUUAAGAAUUCAUGAAUUUGAAAACUUAGAAAUCUAAUAUUCCCUGAAAAAUCAUAAAAAGUAUUCUUGGGUCUAUUUGAUAACACUUCUGUUUCGGAAAACAAUUUCUUUUUAGAAAUAAUAUUUUUAUAUUUCUAUUCCUCGGGACAAUUUCUCAAUAAAAGAAUGUGUUUAGUAACUAUACAAAAUUUCUAUUCUCGGAAUGGAAAAAGAAUAUAAAUAUGUUUAGUACGAUUCACAAUAAUAUAUAAUUUCUUUUAAUUUUUUUUAUUCUUCUUUACUGCUACCGACCAUUGUUGCCGCCAGCCAUCAUUAUUGCCGCCAGCCGUCGAUCAUCACUGCCCACUUCCAACCCCUACCGCCAAUGAUCAGUGGCAACAGGCGAUGGGCGGCAUUGUUGGCAAUCAUUGGUGAUGAAGGUCAGUGGUUGGUGGCGAUAGUGACGGUCGACCAGUCGCAGCGGUCAACUGACAACAAGCAACAAAGGAGGGUGGCAGCUGGCAAAUAAGAAGAAAAGAAAAGAGAAAAUAACUUAUUUCUAAAAAUUGUUCUUGAGAACAAGAAGUUACUUUUUUCUGCUUCUUAUUUCUGUUCCAAAUCUAUUUAUCGACCAUUUUUUUAUUCCAAGGAAUAGAAAAACUAAUUAACAUUACCAAAUGGAUCUAUGUUCUUCUUUUGUUCCUAGAAAUAAAAGAACGGAAAUUGGGAGAAACCGAAACGUUACCAUAGAUGGCCUUGAUCGACGCUGCCUUUGGAAAGAAUUUUAGUGCACCUCAAAGUAAUCAUUUAGCGAUAUGAAACGUCUUGAUACCAUGCAAGCACAUCCACGUCAAAUAGCUCAUUGCCCUUUCAUACCAAUUUCACUUUCCCUUUCCUCAAAACAAUCAUUUAACGGUCGUCAUGAUUCCAGGCAAGCACAUGCGUGUGGAAUAACUUAUUGUCCGUUCAUACCAUUUUCACUUUUCGUACGAUAUAAAAGAACUAUUUCAACUUCUUCCUUAAUAUUGAUAUGAAAAAUCAUUGUAAGUUAGAAUAGUCUAGUAUCAAUUGAGAAACAAAACUAUAAUAAUAAAAUUAAUUAGAAUCUCCGGUCCUUCAAAAUUAAGAUUCCUCAAAUCUUUAGCACCAUCCAAACUUAAAUGUGGAAUUUCUUAUUUUUGGUAAGAUUUUCUUUUUUUCACAAUAAUUUGUAUUAUCUAUCAAACUCGACAAAAUCUUUAUUGAAGUACUUUAUAUUAGAUUUUCUUCUGUUUCUAUUAGUCCACUUUGCUUGUACUUCUUUUCCAGCUGAUGGCGAUAUCAAGAAAAACCAGUUCACUUAAAAAGACAUUUACGCCCUUCUAAAAUCAAAAUCAGAUGAUGAUUCAAGAGCUUAGGCAUAAUUUUUUUUUUUUUUCAUGUGAGCAUCGAGGCGAUUGUGUGAGUAGGUAUUACUGUGCAAUUACGUUUGUUUUCCACAUCUACAUGAAUCCUAAGUUGUUUAGGAUUCUACUUCCCAGGAUCCUAGUCUGAAACGUCGCUUUCGUUGAUCAUCUCCUAGCACGUGCAGCUUCCAAAUAGAACAUACUAGGAUCAUUCAAUAUGUGCAGCAUCUAUGCGGUGGUUGAAGAAGUUACUUCUGUUUUUGAGUUUUUUUUUUUUUUUGUCAGUCAUACUCUAUGCCUACUCUAUACUCACUCUCAGACUUUUGACAUGCCUCUUGCAAGGCGUGGGAGUCGAAGCCCACUCCUGAAACUUACUCGUCCCCACCCCAUCCCCCUUGAGAAGGUGGGGAUUUGAACCCCUCACCUCCCCCUUUUAUGUGGCCACUGGGGCGAAUCCCAGUGAUUCUUCUAUUUUUGAGUUGAUAAUGGGUUUUAUGGGCCAAGCUUAAAGAAAGACACUGGAUUUAUAAAUUCAUGUAGAGAGAAAUGUUUACGUGGUUGUUUUUAAUCUAUUAUGGUAUUAAUAACUUGUUAUGGAUCAUAAAAAAAUAAUUAAUAAAUAAAUAACAAUCGUUGUGGGGUUCACUCUAAAAAUUGCAACUCACAAUAUACCGUUACUCUCAUAAUGACCCAAAAAAUGUCAUGCGAGCAAAACCCUUCUAUAUUUUAUAUGUUCUAUGUCGCUGGUGUGGGUAUUGAAUUGGAGCUACUAAUCCUUGUCUUAUACUAAAAGAUCAUUAUGCUUUAAGCUCCGUUUCUUUCGCAAAAAUUAAAUUAUUUGGAAAGAAAAUUUCUAAAAAUAAUCGCUCGUUUCGCUUAUAAAAUAAAUUGAUAAAAAAAAAUUCACAAAAAAAUUUAGAUAUAAUUUAUUAUUUAUAAUAAAAAUAUUUUUCAUCGACUGAUUAUUUUAAACUAUACAAGCAAUUAUUUUUUAGAAAAAUAUUUAUAAAAUUAUUCAUUUUUUCGCGAAAUAAACAAAAUUGAAUAAUUUUCCAUGCCUAAAUGGUCCGUAGGCAACUAUUGCGAUGAAAUCAAAUACUAUUUGUAUGUCCACGAAAAUCUCAAGGUAAUUGAAACUUUGGGUUUCCUUAGCCGAAGAAAUCUACUGUUGCGAGUUGAUUAUGGAUAAACUUAAAAGAUUAACAAGUUCAAGGACUCUCAUGGGCGGCGAACAAGGCAAUACAAAGAAAAGAAAAGAAAAGGGCAAAUGCUUGAUGAAGCUGGAACAAAUCUCGAACGAGAAUCCUGUCUCCACGCCCGAUCAUUCGUGGAUAUCGGUCUUAACUAGAUGAAUCCUUCCGUACUCUGCAUGCCGCCCGCCGCCAGCGUGGACUCUUGGGUCCUUAACUUUUCGAGAAAUCCGCAGUGCGGUGCGUGCGGUGCAAUGUCGUGUUGACUCUGCAAACGAAGACUUGCUUUGUUUAGUGAAAACUUCGACAUGUCUAAGAAAGAUGUUUUGUACUGAAAUCACUUUUAGCUAUCGUUUGGUCAUUAACUUGAAAAUGAUUCCCUCUCUUAAGGGUAGAGAAAAAUUUCCUCAUUGUUUACCAUAGAUUUUUUUAUAGAAUUAAUAAUACUGAAAUUUCCAAACUAGUACAUUUGUGAUCAAUUUAUCUUCUAUUAGUUUUUAUUAAAUUUUACUGUCAAAUUGCUAAGUUAGAUAAUAUAAAUAGUUGACAGAUAUACUAAUUUUGAGUUUUACUUUCCGUUUGUCACAGAUGUAUCAAUUUGUGUUUUUUUAUGGCAUUAACUCAAUUUAACGAAAAUUAACAAAUGAUAAAUUUAUUAUAAAUAUAUUAUAUUAAGGUUUUUUGUGAUCAAAAAAUUAGUUUAUGAUAAAUUUGUCAUGUAUGUAUCAAUUUUGAAUUUUUGAUGGUUGAAAAAUUAGUUUUAGGUAAAAUUAUCAAAGGUAAACCAAUUUAGAGACGUUUUAUGCGGAAAUCAUUUUUAGUUCUCGUUUGGUCAUUAACUUUAAAAUGAUUUCCUCUCUUUGAGAAUAGAGAAAAUUUUCCUUGUUUUUUAGCAUGGAUGUUUUCCUUCAUUGUAAAUGAUUUUUCGAUAAUCAAUCCAUUUUCGGUAACUAAGCAGGUAAAAAUAUCAAAAACAAAUUGUACAAAACCCUUUUUGGCUAAACAAACACUCAAGCUAUGUUUGGUCGUCCGGAUUUCUAAUCAGGAUAGGACUGGAUAAGAUAUGAUAUGAAAUCCUGGGAUUUUUCUAUAUCAUAUCCACUGUUUGGUGAAUCACAAUAUUAAAGUCGGAUAUGUUUACAUCAUGUCAUGUACAUUUAUUUAACAUAAAUAGCAUAUCAUUAUAAAUAAACCUAAAAAUUUAUAAAUGGAGAUGGUAAAAAUCUCUCAUGACACUAUUCCUUAAUUUAUUUUUAUUUUCUUUUAUUUUAUUAAUCCUCUUUUUAAAAUUAUUUUCUUCAUUAUUUCUUUUUUCCCUUUUCAUCAUUCUUUAAUAAAAUUUUAUUAAAUAGUAAACUGUACUUACAUACCUUAAAUACAAAAAUACCUAAAAUAUAUAAUAAAUAUAAAUAUAUAAUUUAUAGAUUGAAUGUUUAUUACAAGAUAGAAUUAAAGUUAAUUAUAUAAAUUAAAAUAAGAUUGAAUUAAAAAUAAUUUUUAAUUUCUUAAAAUAGAAUUCAAAUAUUAUUUAUAUUGAAAUAUAAUUUUAAUUUUGUUAAUUUAAUAAGUUUAUUAUUCGAGAAAAAUAACUUUCCUAUUAUGGACAUUAGAAAUCAUAUCCACAUUUAUCUCACCUCCCCCACGGGAUAAUUUUAUUCGGCCUAUAUUCCUCUUAUAUCCGAUUUUAUCCUAUCCUAAGCGAGCAUCAAACGUAAGAUAUAAUAAAUCAUAUUUUAUCCUGAAUUUUAUCCUGACCGUCAAACAUAACCUCAAAAGAUAAGCCAUUUCAAUUUCGAAAAGUGAUCUAAACAUUAAACCUUUCUCAUUUAAUGAUAAAGAGAUUAUCAUUUAUAUAUGUCUGCAUCGUGCUCCCUAUUCAAUCAAUGAACCAAUCUAAUAAUUUACCUCUCCUUUCUUCAAGAAGUUUUGAAUUAUUUAUAAGAUAAUCUUUUGUUGGCCAAAAAGUUACAAAAUUAAUUUAUGUGAUUGACUCUACAAGAAAAAAGAAUUUGCACCUGAAAACAAUCAUAUAUGGACUAUGAAACUCCAUAUAUAUAUGUAUGCAUGCAAAUGCAUGUCAAGCAGCUCAUUGCCCUCUCAUACCAUUUUUUCUUAUUAUUUCAUAUGAUAAAGUACACCUAAAAGGCAGUCUCAAUUUCUUCGAUAUCAAUUACAUUGAAUAUUACAGUAAAUUAUAAUAGUAUAAUUUCAAUUAAAAAAGCAAGCUACAGUUUAAAUUAAAUAAUAUUUCUAGCACUUCAAAAUUAAGAUUACUUAAAUUUCAAACACCAUCCAAACUUUAAUUUAGAUUUUCAUAUUGUUGGCAAGUUAAGCUAUAACGUCUACAGUUUUAGCCCGUGAGAAAUGGCUAUGAAAUUAGUGUGCCCCAAGGACCACUCCAAGAAUCACUUGCGAUGGAUCACGGACUAGUCAUGGAUCGGUCAUGGAUUAGCUUAGCGACCUUGCCACCCAGCCAUGCGCCAGGCCAUAAGCCCGGCCUUAUGCUAGGCCAUGAGUUGGCCUUAAGCCCGAUUAGCUUGACCCUAUGUUCGGCCAACUCUGGCCAUGCAUUGGCCAAGAUAGGCCAUUGAACUAGCCAUGUCGGUCAGGCUUGGUUACAUCCCACCUCGACCAAUUGUGAAUUAGCCACAAAUCUCAACUCGAAUGGUGCAAUUAAUUGUAGAUGAACAUGAAAAGCUCUCACACAAUAAUCUUGGCACUUUCAUCAGCUUCCUUCUCAUGUUUACAAAAUGUUCUUUGGAAGUUAGUCCAUAAAUGAAGAGAAUGACUCAUCAACUUAAGUGGUAAGGAACUUGGGUGGCAAGGAAGAGGAUUUGGUCAUAAUUACAUAUGACAACUUAAGUAGCAAGUUACUUGAGAAACAAGAAACAUGUGACUAAAUCUAAAGCCGAUUAUAACUAAAUCUUAGCUAACUCAUAUAGGAAUGAGUUGUCAUUCAAGUGGCAAGAUAGGGGUUUAACUUGAAGAACAAGUAAUCUAAUUAUGGUUUUUUGGAAGUUAGUAACUGAAUAAAAGGGAUGACUCACAUGGCCAAGUGGCAAGAAGGAGUUCAACUUGGAGAACAAAUAGUCUAACAUGUGACAAAAAUCCAAGCCUUAUGAUGACACCAAAUCUAAGCAAUUAAUGAAGAGAAUGACUCAUAAGCUUGGGUGUCCUUAUAGAAAUGAGGUUAUCAUUACAUUAAGAUAUUGUCUUGGAGAUCAAGUUUAGCCAAGUUAUUAUUGAAAGAUGACUCAUGACAUAGGUGGCCUAAUGAGAAGAAUGGCAAGUGCUCUUCUAGGGCCUUAGAACGUCAUUUCAUCAGGGUAGGCGUGCCACCUCUUCAAGAUAGUUUCUUCAUUAAGGCAAUGGCUUAUGGCUAAGUGACCAAUAAGAGACACUUUUAGGACUUUGAUCAUUUCUCUAGGCUAUUAGGGCACCAUCUCUCCUAAUUAGCCUUGCCACCUAAAGAAGUUAUUAGACCAUUUGGAAAAGGCAAUCAUUAAGGUUUUGCCUAUAAAUAAAAGCACCAACCCUUCAUUUCCCCCACAUUGGCUCAUUUCUCCCACCUCUCCUCUCUUGCACGCCCUUUCCCCCUCUCUCUCAACCAUUCGCUCUCUCGCCAUUCACCCCUCAUCAAUUUGCCAUCACUUGGCCAUUGGCCACCACCUGGACAAGUCGUAAGUGAAAUCUCUAACCUUCGACUAAGGCAAUGUGCUGCGUUGUUGGCUUGGUUGUGUUCUCAUCCAUGCUUAGUUGUGUACAUGCUGAUGGUUGUUUGUAUGGUUUGCUCAUGUCCUUGCAGUUACAAGUAGAAUUUCUAACCCUUAAUUAGAGCAAUGUGUUACAUUGAUGGAUUUAGUUAUGAGCCCACCCAUGUGUAGUUGUGUGCAUGAUAAGGAUUGAUUUAAUAAGGUUUGCUCAUGUCUUGCAUUCAUAAGUACAAUCACGCCACGAGUUACAGAUGAGUCUUACUCAGUUUUGGAAUCGAUGUUGAGGCGUGACAGACUAAACCUUACUUGGCCUUAGAUCAGCAUUGAGGCAUGUCAAUUUGAGCCUCGCUUGGCUUUGGGUUGACGCUUAAGCGUGUCAAUUCGAGCCACAAGUCACAUGUCAUGCUCAGCAUAGUAGUAAAGUAACAAUGUUAUAAGUCAUGACGCACACACGCACUUGUAUGAGCACGCUUUCAGACCUUAUUUACACCAACUAAAACGAAAGAAAAUAAAUUGAUUUGUGCAAUGUGGAACAUGUGAUCACCUAAUGAAAUAUAAGAUCUGUUGCCACUUGAGGUAACGACGAUGACCCCAUGCCAAUGGGAUGUUGUCGCCCAUUGAGAUGGCGACGAUACCUCAUUCAUGAGAAUGAGAUGUCCCCACGCCAACAAGAUGUCUCUUUAAUGAGAAUGAGAUGCCUCUAUGCCAAGAGGAUGCCUCAUUCAUGAGAACGUGAUACCUUGAUUGAGUCAAGAAGUCCUUGAAUGUAUGGGAUGCUUAGCUUGAUGGUCGACUGCCUCGCUUGAUGUUGGAAGCCCCUGAAAGUAUGGGAAGAAUCGUUUGAGACGGUCAAUGAACCUUUGUGCAUGUUGUUGUGUGUUGUUUGAUAAGUUUGAGGUAGAUCAUACAUUGAUGAUAAGCCAAAAUUGAUCGCAUGCAUAUAAUCAAGGUUUAGCAAAGGAAUUGUUAUUGAUUUGCCAUCGAUGUUGUAGUGCAAGUAAUGUUUGCAUGCUAGAUUCGAUGACAAGCUGUCCUCCUAUAUGAGGAUUAGUGACUUCACUUGUUGAGUCAUUGACUCACUCUUUUAUCUUUCAGACUUGUAGGUAUGAAUACCAAUUUUGGAGCUUCAACUUCCAUAGAGGAGAUAGGGAUACCUCAAGCUUAUGCAAAUAGAUAUAGCAUCAUGGAAAAAGAUAUGUUUCAUAGAGAAAUGGCUUGUAAUAUACUAAUGUAAUUUAAAAGUAGUACAUUUGUGGUGUCUUUUCCUGGCUGUUGUUUAUUGUGUUGUCUUAGAGAUCGUUGAUGGACACGCUUUCGCAUGCUCACUAAGGGUCCAGGGUGGGUAGGGUCUAGACCUAGACCAUGUACCCAACCAUAUUAUAACUAAUUCCUCUUUUCUGGACUCUAUACCCGACCCUGUUUGUAUUGGACCCUAUACCCAAUCUAUCAUGUUUUUCCGAUCUGGUUCCAAGGUCAGCCCGGUUUCCACUAGAACCUGUUUUGCAACCUCUCGAUAUCUUAUACGAUUUCAAAUUUUAUAUUAAUACGCGAGAAAAUAAUGUAAUCCUCCUAAUUUUUAUUAAAACAUUAAGCACUUGUAAUAAAUAAAUACAUGAAAUUUUUGACUAAAUGAAAAAUUAAGGAUCCACAAGGCUAAUUAUAAUAAAUAAAAUCAUAAGGCAAAGAAUUAGCAACAAACAUGGGUCUAAUAAUAGUCUUAUUCCCACAACUACUACAUGAAGUUACUCAUUUAUGCAAGCAUAACUCCUCCUACAAAAAAUAAAUUAGGCAAGAUAAUCCAUGUGAUACACAAGAAUUUGGCGGCGACGAAUACCGUCCGUCAUCGGACGGUGCGAGAGGGAGCCGAUGAGGGAGAGAAGCAAGUGAGGAAGAAGAAUGACAAAGGAGGAGUAUCGUGCAUGUUUGAGAGAGCCAAGAAGAAAUACGUCGUGUGAUUGCGGGAGUGAGAAUAGAAAUUGAGGGAAAAAAAAAAAGGGUUUUUGACCUCUACUUACAAAACUGGUUUGGGAACUAGUCCAAGAACCGGUUUCCGAGUGAGUAAUCACUCGAAACCUGUUCCUGGACCGGUUUAAACCGGUUCCCGGACCAGUUUCAGAAUGAACCGGUUUCAACGGAAACCAGUUCCCGACUCUGUUUUCCGAGUGGGCCGGUCCGGGAAUCAGGUAUACUCGGUCCAGUUGCACACCCCUAAUGCUCACACCUAGGACGUUGUAUUAAUAAUCCCUCGUCAGAUUGUUACAUAAGCUUUUUUAAAAUUACAAAAAUAUAAACCAUCUCUCAAGCUAGACAAUAUCGUGAUUAAGGUAAUUUAAAUAUGAUUUUUUUCCUUUUUUUUCAAGACUAGCAAUACAAAAAACUCUAACAUCUACAUGCGUGUCAUAUGUACUGAAAAUUAAUUUUAGAUUGCAAAAAAUCUUACAUUGUUACACUCAAGUCACAUUUAUCGCAUUUUUUUCCUAAUUUAUGAUAUUAAAAAUUAAUUUGUGAUAAAUAUAGCACUAAUAUAUCCGUUUGAGAAUUUUAUAUAGAUAAAAAUAAUUAAUUUAAGAUAAAUGUAACAGACAAUUAAUUUCAUGCACUUUUUUCCGGUGAAGGAUCAGAUCGAGGGAAGUCAAUUCGCUGGAAAAAGACGCUUAUGCCCUUCUGGAAUCAAAAUAUAGAUGGGCUUCCGUGCGAAGUACCUCCUCAUUUUAGCGCGCUCUCUCCCUUUCUUACAAGCAGCUGGAGCAGAGUCGCUCAGGAGACCGAGCGAGCUCGCCGGAGAAAACCCACCGACUCCGCCGUGAAAAGCCACUCCGAGAUGGCGGAGAAGAGCAAAGUCCUGGUGAUCGGAGUGACCGGACUCAUCGGAAAGUUCGUCGUGGAAGCGAGUGCUAAGUCCGGUCACCCCACCUUCGCUCUCCUGGCACCGCCGUCCACUCCGUCCGACCCUGCCGAGGCCGACCUCGUCGAAGGUUUCAAGAGCUUAGGCGUCCGUGUGGUUCAGGUGAGAAGCUAUGCCCGUGCGAUCGCGUUCGUUUCCGACAUCUGGUCCUGCUUCGAGGAACCGAAGCCUCGCCUGCCGUUGAAUCUUUGCUCGUCGUCCUGAGAAAUGUCUUCAGCAGUAGAAUCGGAGCUGAUUUUCGUCUCGAUCUCUUACUCGAUCGAGUUGAUUGGAGUCGCGUUGGGCUUUGGCGUUGUUCAUUAUCUUUUCUGAUAUUUUGUCUUUGUUCGUGAAAAAGGUGAAAUCUUUUGUGACGAAUCAUCUCAGCUUUCCAUGUUGAUUCGAACGAGCGCAUUUUCAGGCAAAUCUUACAGAAACUUCCUUAUGCCUUAGCUGUUUAUGAGACAGCUACAGCUACACUCUGACCUGUUGUUCAGAUCCCAUGGACGAGAAUUCUGUGGAUAGUAGCUUGUUAUUUAUUUGUCUUCGUAUUUUUUCUUGUCUGAUAAAGGUAUUGAAGUAUUAUCUUCAUCGGUUAUGAAUCCCACUGCCAAACCAGGAUUUGUUGAUGAUUGCUGACUUCAUCGAUUGUUGGUUCAUGCUCUUGGUCCUUUGAUUCUCAGGGAGAUAUAAAUGAUCCGGAUACUCUGUUGACUGCGAUCAGGAAGGUCGAUGUGGUAAUAUCUACCGUUGAGACAUCACCAGAGGACCAAUACAAGAUUGUUGCUGCCAUUACGAUGGUCGGAAAUAUAAAGGUGGCGCUGUUUCGAAUGAUUUUGUCCUUGUCAUCAUUGUUUGUUUAGCAAUCGACUGAUGAUACAGGUUGUGUUAGCUUAAUUCUUUCCUUCCGGUAUAAGUGGAUCACCUUCUCCUUGCGAGCUUCGUUUUGAUGAAAUAGGAUGCAUUGACUUACAUAUCUGUAGACUUCACAUCUUUUGGUCAUGACUUUGUGUAGAAGUCUUCGAUGAAAUUUGAGAAUAACUAUUUCACAUCCAAGUGUAGCCCAGUGUGCAUAUUGCGCUGCCCACAUACUCCAGGAGGCUUCAUAUGUAUAUAUAUCCAGAACCUGUGUUUGGGUUUCCUGUAGGUCAGUGAAAAAAACACAUGUUUCGAGCACUCGAUAUGGACUAUGGACGUGUAUCCAAGCUGUUCGAUCAUGAAUUCGCAGGGAACAUGAACUAGUUUAACCUUGAAAUGGUCUUUUUCAGGAGUAUUAUUUUUGCAUAUAUGUUCCCCAGCCCUACUUACUGGGAUAGUACUUAGUAGUAAUUGUUGUUGCUUCGGGUGGUAAACGGUCAACGAUGAGUGGAACUCAGCAUGCUCCCAAAAGGCAAUACACUUACCUGAUAUCUUAUCACUUGUGAAAGUGUCCAUCCAAGCAAGCAGCAUAGUUGCAUAUUUUAUACUCGACAGAGUUAUCUGGCUGCUGCCUAACAUUGGAAUCUUCACUUUCCAUUUCUUCUAUUUUUCUAAUAGCACUUGGGGUAGAAUUUGCUUAAUUGCUGGAUUUGUUUUCUCACUUAUGGUCACAUUUUACUCUGUUAUAGCAACAUAUUGACCCAAAAAAAAAAAAAAGUACUUCAGUCUCGUAUAAGUUUGUUUUGUUUUAUUUUGCCAGAACUCGUAUAAUUUUGUUGUAUAAGGGGAAUGUGCUCUAAAUUUGCGUUGCUUUCCAAUAGAAAUGUUUCUUCUGAUUUGGCGAUUUUUCUUUAUAGAGAUUCUUGCCUUCAGUGUUUGGAAGUCAUGUGGAUCGUGCCCAUGCUGUGGAGCCAGCAAGAACUUUUUAUGCUGCUUACUAUACCAACAUCCUCCGCCUUCUUGAGGAACAGGGAAUCCCGUAUACCUAUGUGUCUUGUAACUUUCUAGCUGGUUGGCACAGUUCGACGUUGGCACAGCCCGGGGCUACAGCUCCCUCUAGAGAUAAAGUUGUCAUCUUAGGGGAUGGUAAUGCAAAAGGUAAGAAGCAAUUCGUUGAAAUACAUAUUCUGACUGCUCAGGAUUUUGCUGUACAAUUUUUAUGAUUUAAUUACGGGAGUGUUGAGAUUGAGAGCAGUUCCUCAAGCUUGAGAAUUUUGAGGCAACUCCCUAUCUAGAGAUGUCGGGCUUUUUACAUCCAUUAGUCUUGACUUCUGGAGACUAAUAAAUGAUACGAAAGUGAUGCUGGUUAUCUUGGCACAAUACCUAUUAAGAAGGUUAUCUCUAUGUAUCAGGUUGAGAAAAGAACAUAUGAAUGCAUUCAUCAGAUGAAUCUUUAUUUCAAGAGAGUUCUUUAAAUGUGAACCGAAAGUAACUCUAGGAAAAUCAAAGUUUUUGUGAUAUAUUUAUUAGCCAAAUACUAAAAUUCUCCCUGUCAAUAUACAGUGGUGUUUAACAGGGAGGAUGACAUCGGCACCUAUACCAUCAAAGCCAUGGAUGAUCCAAGGACCUUGAACAAAAUUCUGUACAUCAGACCUCUUGCCAACACCUACUCGAUGAAUGAUCUUGUGUCUUUGUGGGAGAGAAAGAUCGGCAAGACCCUGGAGAGAUUCUAUAUUCCAGAGGAGCAACUUCUGAAGCAAAUUCGAGGUCACAGAUGCGUUACUAUUAGAUUUAAGCACGUGGAAAUUGUCUCUAUUCUCUACUUGACAUCGAUUGGUCUAUUUGUCUGCUCAUAUUGCAGAUGCGAAAUCUCCGGACGAUCUGAGGUGGGCCAUAUCCCAUUCAAUUUUCGUGAAAGGAGACCAAACCAACUUCGAGAUUGAGCCAUCAUUUGGAGUGGAAGCUUCAGAGCUCUACCCCGAUGUCAAAUACACCACUGUGGAUGAGUACCUAGAUCAGUUUGUCUGAUUGUCGAAACUUACUGUGCUUGGGGACUUGAUUUCUCACAUCAGCUUGGAUACAGAAAUGAUAAUUGUAUACCGCUUCUUACGAACCUAGUGGGAAACGUUGCUCCCAUUGAUCAUCUCGUGGCACUGUACAACCUCCUAAUAUUAGGACGUACUAUGAAUACUGAUUAUGUGUUUCAUCUGUGCCGUGUGCUUUGAGAAGUUACUUCUGUUUUGGAGUUGCCGUGGGUUUAGGGCUAGCUUAUAUAUAAAAAAAAAAGAAAAAGACUGGGGCUAAGGGGCUGUCGUGCCAAAAGCCUAACCCAAAUUUGGGUCAAACCUAACUGACUUCUCAAUCCAUAGGAGACUUGGUUAGACAAGUCGAAACUACAGGGACUAAAUUAGAGAAUCGGCAAAAGUGAAUGAUGAAAAAGUAUAAUUUUCCUUUUCUAUUCUUACAACGGAGUAUAUAAAGCCAAACCAAAGUUGAUGCUCAUUUUUCUGAAAUCAAAUAUUUUAUAUGUCUUCGAAGAUUUCCUCGGAAUUGAGAUGAGGUUUACUUGGCAGAUUACUUGUUAAAGUCAGCAAAGAUGAUAUUUCUGUUACCAGUUGAUGAAGGGUGAGAGAAUAGCAAGUUAAAACCGAUCGAUGAACAAAUCUCACGAUGUAGGAUUAUCCUUGAUGCUAUAAGGACUGUUAUAGACUUAAUAAUGUUAUGGGCGUGGAAUGAGCAAGAAGAAGAGAGGCGUGCACGAUGAAUCUGGACACCUCGCGAACCAAAUUCUUUACCAGAGUCGGCGCGGACUCGUGUCCUUUUCUAAACAAGAAAGCCUGAAAAGGCGGUGUCUACAUAGUACCAUGUUAACUUCACAAAUUAGGUAAAAUGCAAUUUUAAAUUUUGAAUGGAUGAUCUAAGCAUAAAGUCUUUUCCAUUUAAUGAUAAAGAGACCAUCUUAUAAUUUGCUUAAUUUAUUUAUAUCGAGCUCACUCUUUUAUGAAGGAAUUAAUCUAACAAGGUAAGUUUCCUUUUUUCAAAAAUUCGUGAAUUUGAAAACAUAGAAUUCUUAUGUUACCCAAAAUAAUAAAAAGAGUAAUCUCAUAAUCAAUGCAAUACGUCAAGAUACCAUGCAAGCACAUGCACGUCAAGUACCUCGUUGCCCUUUAAUGAUAAAGAGACCAUCUUAUAAUUUGCUUAAUUUAUUUAUAUCGAGCUCACUCUUUUAUGAAGAAUUAAUCUAACAAGGUAAGUUUCCUUUUUUCAAAAAUUCGUGAAUUUGAAAACAUAGAAAUCUUAUGUUACCCAAAAUAAUUAAAAAAGUAAUCUCAUAAUCAAUGUAAUACGUCAAGAUACCAUGCAAGCACAUGCACGUCGAGUACCUCGUUGCUUUCCAACCCUACUCACUUCUCUUUCGUAUGAUAAAAAAACGGUUCCAACUUCUUCCUUAAUAUUUGCAUGACAAAUCAUUGUACGUUACAAUAGUCUAACAUUGAUCGAGAAACACAAUCACAAUAUUAAAAUUAAUUAGAAUCUCCAACGUUCAAAAUUAGGAUUACUUAAAUCUAGCACAAUCCAAACUUAAAUGUAGAUUUUCUUAUUUUUAGCGAGUUGAGUUUUCUUAAUUCACAAUAAUUCAAAUCGUCUCCCCUCGAACAAGACAAACCUUCUAGUAAAGUUCCUUCUGUUUCUAUUCGUCCACUUUGCAUGUCCUUCUGUCCCACCUAAUGAUAAGGUCAAGAAAAAUCAAGUGGCUGAAAAGACAAUGCAUUAAAGAGACAAUCCAUUGAAAAGACAAUUGUGCCAUUCCAGAACCAAAAUAAAUAAAAUUAACAUUAUAAAAAAUCUAAAUUGAUACACAUUAAAUAAAUUUACUCCAAAUUAAUAUAUUUGUGAUAAAUUUAUCUUAAUAUCAAAUUACUAAAUUGAGUGAUAUAUGAUAAUUGACAGCUUUGGAUUUUACUCUCCAUUUUUUAUAAUUAUAUAAUUUUCAUGAUUUUUUGUGAUAUUAAUAUAAUUUAAUGGAUUGUAUGGUUUAGGGUUUUUGACGGUUGAAUAAAUUAAUUCUGGUUAAAUUUAUUAUAAGUAUAUUAUUUGAGAUUUUUUGUGGCUAAAAAAUUAAUUUGAAAUAAAUUUAUUAUAUAUUUAUUAAUUUAGGAUUUUUCAAAGUAUUAAUUCAAAUAAAUAUGAAUUAAUACUCGCAAAAAAAGUGUAUGUAUUAAAAAGGGGUCAACCUUUGUUUCCUACAUCUGGCUCUGCUUCGAGGAACCGAAGGGUCGCAUGCCGUUAAAUCUUGCUUGUCGUUCCGAGAAAUGUCUUUAGCAGUGGAAAUGGAGUUGAUUUUCGUCUUGAUCUCUCGCUCAAUCGAGCUGAUUGGAGUCCUGUUGCAAUUCGGCGUCGCUCCUUCUCUUUUCUGAUGUUUUUUUUUUGUAUAUUGGUGAAAUUAUACGCUGCCUGAUGAAUCAUUUCAGCUUCGCAUGUUGAUUCGAACAAGCACAUUUUCAGACAAUCAUUAUAGAAACUCCCGUAUGCCUUAGCUGUUUCCGAGACAGCCAUAGCUAUGUAGCUGCACUGACCUGUUGUUCAGAUGACUGCCGAUUUUAUUGAAUGUUUAUCCAUGCUCUUGCUCAUUUGAUUCUCAUGUAAACGAAAAUGAUUCAGAGACUAUUGAUUGUGAUUAAGCAAGUUGAUAUAGUAAUCUCUAGUGUCGGCAUAGCUCUAUAAAUCCAAUACAAGAUUGUUACUGCCAUUAAAGUAGCUGGAAAUAUAAAGGUGGUGUUGUUUUCAAUAAUUUUGUCCUCAUAAUCAUAAUCAUCGCUUGUUUAGCAUUCAACUGAUGAUACAAGUUGCAUUAGCUUAAUUAUUUACUUCUAGGACGCUUUGACUUAUUUAUCUGUAGACUAAACCUCUUUUUUUCUAUCAUGACUUUGUGUAGAAAUUAUCAAUGAAAUCAGAGGAUGACUAUUGCACAUCUAAGUAUAGCACAAUGUGGAUAACCAUUUCAAAUCCACACCAUUGCUUUUUGACAUGUUCAAUUGGGUAGGAAAUUCUGUCAUCAAGGAUGCACAAUGUACUAUAUGCAUAAAUACUCGUAUGGACAAGCAAAUCAAAAAAAAAAAAAUAGUCAAAAAGAAAAAGAAUAAAUCGGAUACCAAAUUUUUGUGGUUCAAUUUGAAUAUCAAAACUUACGUUUACGUGAAAAGUAGUACAAAAUUUCACUAUAAAAAUAAGUAAAAUAACAAAUAUUUCAAUUACUCAAGUACUCAAAUAUUCUCUCUCAAUAUUUUUUAACUCUUAAUUAGACUUAAUAACUCAUAUAAUAUUUAGCUCUUCAUAAUUACUGAUGAAAUUUCACUUAAAGAAUCAAAUAAAUUCUGCUAAUAACGAUUUAACUCGGCUUCAACACUCCGGGUCUCUUCAAAUCUUAUUUGCGGGGAAGAAAUGGGGAUGUAAUAGAAUAAUACUCCACCCUCGGCCACCAAAAAGCUGUCGACCUCUCUCCUCCCUAGCCAUCAAGGACUUUUCGUACCUCAACCCGAAUUAGCUCCUCUUCUAUAGCCAAGAGAAGUUUCUCAUCAUUUAAUUUAGCAUGAGAAAGUCUUCUGGACAUGUACUGAGGAAAUGAUUACCUCUGACUUACUUUUCUUUCCUUUCUUUCAUUUUUACGUUCACAUAGCCUUAGACUAAGAAGACAAAAGGGUAAGGAAAAAGAGACGAACAAAGGCCACGUUCCAUUAUCUUCUUCAAAUGCUCCAGCACCUAACCUGUCAGAUCUUCCAUGCGUGACAACACGAAAGUCUUCCUCCUGCACCUCUUCAUUUAAUGAGGCGUGUAAGAAUCCCAAAGUGUCGGGCGCCAUUCAUUUCUUCCACGUGCAGCGGCCACAAGAGGAAAAACAAACAUGUCCGCUUGCUGAUUUAUUCAUCGUCGAGAGGCGCGCGCAGAGAAAUUAAUGCACGAACAAAAGAAGUCAAGAGACAAAGCUUGGACGUUCAUUAGAGUUUGGAUUUCGUGGUCCGCAUCCAGGAGGCUUUAUUUAUCCAGAACCUCUGUGUUUGGAUUUCCUAUAAGGUCAGCCUACAGAAUAAGAAGUUCUGAGCGCUCAGUAUGUACUAUGGACAUGUAGCCCAGCUCUUCGAUCAUGAAUUCGCGGGAAACAUGAACUAGUUUAUUCUUGAAAUGGUCUUUUUCAGGUGUAUUAUUGUCGCAUAUAUGUUAGUACGUUACCCAAUCCCUCUAGUGGGAUGUUGACCAUCGAUCGAUAUUUUUAUACUUGCAUAUGUUAUACUUUGACAGAGUGCCCAAGCAAGCAGCAUGUCUGCAUUUUUAUCCUUGACAAAGUGAUCUGGUUGCUACCCUAACAUUUGAAUCUUCACUUUCCAUUUCUUCAAAUAUCCUAACAUUUGAAUCUUCAGUUUCAAAAAUUUAGUGGAAUCGAUGAGUUCUAAGCAUGGAAUCGCUCGCCCACUCACUCGGACUGAACCGGUAUAUAUAUAUAUAUAAAAUCAAUUUUAAUUACUUAAUUAUUUUGUAGUUUUUCGACCACAUAUAUAUAUAUAUAUAUAUAUAUAUAUAUGUUUGGUUAUUGGAUAUUAUUGACUAAUUUAUAGGAUUAACCCCAUCUUUUUUUUUCAUUUAUUUACUUGUUUUUUCAACCAAAACAAAAUAAAUAAGUAUAGAGGAAUGAGAGAAUCGAUUAGAGAUGUCCAUAAGAGCCAACCGCUCGUUUUAAGAGUAUAAUUAGGUCUCUCUUUAGCAUCCCAUGAUUUAAUUAGGUUGAUGUUGAAAAAACGACGAAUCAAGAGACUAAUGUUUUAACUUCUGUGAAGGUUAGGAUUUUUAACAUGAAGUAUAAUUCUCCACUUGUUUCCGGUGUUCGAAAAUCUUAAGAGGAGUAAAUCAUGAAUUUCGAAGAAAUUAAGUUUUUAGCUGAUGAAUAUCGUCUAUUUGUUUUGCUUUAUAGUUUUCAAUUCUUAAUCAAAAUUAAAGACUUGCAAUUCAACUCGAAUAUAAGGUCAAACAAGCUUUGUAGAGAUUGAUGAUAGAUUCCAUUGACCCACUAUAGAACCAGACUGGUCUAGCGAUCUAGUUUCUGGUUGGAUCCAUGGAGCCAAUGGGCGGGUCUUGAUUCCAAUUUUUCAGAAUCAGUCUUUAAUGGACGGUUUCCAAUUCUAAAGUGAGAAAUGUCCACCUCAACCAUGCUCACCCCUAUGUUGAAUUUGGGCAAAUUCCUCUCUAACCAAAUUCCCAUCUCCAAGCCUAACCAUUUAUUUAUAGUGGUGUGACUACAUGAACCAUUUCAUGGCACUGUACAACCUCCAAAUAUUAGGACAUACUAUGAAUACGGAAUAUGUGCUCGUCUAUGCUGUGUGCUUGGGUAGGUUACUUCUGUGUUGGAGUUGCAAUGGGUUUCUGGGCCAGCUAAUAGAAAAAAGAGACGGGGGUUUAUGGUGUCGUGCCAAAUUCCUAACCCAACUGACUUCUCAGCCCAUAAAAAAUUGAUUAGACAAAUUAAAAAUACAGGGACUAAAUUAGAGAAGCAGUUUAAAUAGAGGGGUGAAAGAUAUAAUUUUCCUAUUUUAUUAACGCAGCGGAGCGUAUAAAACCAGGCCACAAUUGUUGAGCAUUUGAAAAUAUUCCUGCCAUUUGCAACGUGCAAGGUCGUAAUUCGUACAUGCUGUAAGGUUAUGGUGAAAUCAAUUACUUUAUAUGUCCUCGAAAAUCUCCUCAUAAUUGACACUCGAGGUUUUUCUUUUUAGGUUGGAUUUGAAACUUGAGGUCCACUUAGCCUACCAUCUUUUGAUGACAGCAAAGGUGAAAUUUCUGUUGCCAGAUAAUUAAGGUAAACUGAAUUUGCUAACGUUUCAAGGACUAUUUAAGGCGUCGAACGAAUAAGAAGGCAAAAUGGCAAUUGCACGAUGAAUCUGGACAAACUCCUCUGGAACCAAAUUCCUACCUCCAAGCCUGACCGUUUGUGGGUAGUGGUGUGAAUCAAUUCGUACUCUUACCACGACAGUGCGAGCGAACUCUUGUAUCCUUUCCUUAACGAGAAAGUUGGGAAAAUAACCAAAAAAUUCAAAAAUUAUUGUAUCCGGGCAAGUUUAAAUCUAAGUCUUUUGAGGUGACCAAUUCAUUUCUAAACAUUUUUCAUAUUUUUCAAUUCAAUCAUUUUGUCUGGAAAAAUCUAACGUGUGUGUGGCUUACAUGAAAUUUUAAAAAUAAAGCGGUGUCAUUUCUUUAAAGGUAAAAACUCCACUUUACCUGAGAAACACCGUUGCUUCCCUUCAUCAACCACCGUCCCAAUUUGGCCACAAUCACAAACCACAAAAUUGGGAAGAACCCUAAUUGCUCUUAGCUUUUCUCCAGGCAAAUUAAAAUCAAUUAUUUUUUUGAAAAUAAUUUUGAUUAAAUUAUCUUCUUUUAUCACAAAAUUUUCAAAAAAAAAAACAUACGCAAUAUAGAUACAAGACAAUUUCAAAUUCAAUUGGAUGAUAUGAACAUAAUAUGUUUUUAAUUUAGUGAUAGUAUUAUCUAAUAGGCUCAAACUUUCAUUAAUGAAUCAAUCUAAUAAGGUUGCUCUGUUUCUUUCAAGAACGUUGGAAUUAAAAAUAUAAUUAAUCUCGUGAUCAACCCUCCCCGGAAAAAGAAUUCAGUGCACCUCCAAAGUCAAACUGAUGCUGUAGUCACCAUGAAACUCCAUGAAAUCAUGCAAGCACAUGCGUGGUGAGUAGCUCAUUGCCCUCUCAUGCCAUUUCUACUCGUUUUUUCAUAUGAUAAACUGAACCUAAAAGGUAUCCAAACCUCUAAUUCCCUUUGAGGAGGUGACAGGGUGGUAGAGAGAGAGAGAGAGAGAGAGAGAGUAAGAGUAGAGCAAAGAGGAGUCGUGAACUUGAAGAGAGAAUAAACGGAGAAGCAACGAAGACGAGAGGAAGGAGUAGAAAUUUUGAAAUUUCUGACUAAUGGGAUUGCUACAUGUCGAUUUUUGAAUGGUUUAUCGUAAACCUUAUGUGACAUGUCCAACUUUCCUAAUAUCUUCUCAGAAAUCAAGUGCUCCAUUUGGCUUAAACGGCAUGUAAGACACGAUUGCAUUAAAUGUGUAUAUAUUACAAGUGGAGACUUGAGCAAGUCUUUGAACUGCUCCCCUCAAGCCCAUGUGAGAGAACCUCCCCCAGGGACAAGUCUCAGGAGGGGGCGUGAAAUACUGGGGGUCUGUCGGAGUCAACCAUAAACCAUAAACCCGGUAAUGAUAAACCGCAGGGGGGACUAACAGGGGUUUACCCACCCCACCCCCUGGCUUUUCCCAAUAUAUUCUCAGAAAUCAAGUGCUCCAUUUGGCUUAAACGGUAUGUAAGACACGAAUGCAUUAAAUGUGUAUAUAUUACAAGUGGACAAAGAGGACAGAGAGUCCUUUUAAUUUAGUGCUUUCUGCGGCUGAAGCAAAAGAAGUCAUCAGAGAGUUAAUGAAGGGGACAAAAGAAGCCCAUACCUUCUCUAAUACUCGGCAAUUAUCAUUACUUAAAUUUAUAGCACCAUCAAAAUUAAAAUUUCCAUUUUUUUGGUAAGUUAAGCCUAUCUUAUUUUACAAGAAAUAAAUCAUCAUUGAAACUACAUAAAAUCGUCAUCUUCAAUUUAUUUUCCCACUAUCUAUGUACCUUUUUUUUGGGUGAAAAGCGACAUUAGAAAUGAUCCAUAAACUUUACAAUAUAAUCUUUUAAUUUUUAAUUUGUUCGAUGUAAUUUCUAAAUUUCAACAAAAUGUGUCAUAUGAUUCAUGAAUUCUUAAUAUAUAUUCAACUUAAUCCAUUAAUCAUAUGAAAAUAUUUAACAAUAUCCUUCUAUUGAGUUAAGUUUAAUGACAAUAUUGAAUAUUUUUAUAUAAUUUAAAAAUUAAGUUAAACACGUGUCAAAAGUUCAUAAAUCAUAUUGAACAAAUUAAAAAUUCGGGUAUCACAUUGCUCAUUAGAUUAAAAUUUAGGGGUUAUAUCAAAUAAAUUAAAAAUUUAUGGACCACAUUGCAAGUCAGGAUGAGGUUAUGGAAUUACUUAUGUCAUUAAGAAUUAUUUCAAUUAAAGGACCAUUAUGCCCUUCUUGAAACAAAAGCCAAAUAACGCUCCGUCACUUGAAGACAAGAUUCCCGCUUUCUCUCUCUCUCGAUCGACAGUUACUGCACAGUCAGUUCAGAGGCCGAUCGAGUUCGCCGGAAAAAACAACCACGCCUCCGCCGGGAAAACUCUCCGAUGGCCGAGAAGAGCAGGGUCCUGGUCAUCGGAGGCACUGGGUCCAUCGGAAAGUUCAUCGUGGAGGCGAGCGCUAAGUCCGGUCGCCCUACCUUCGCUCUCGUGAGGGAGUCCACCCUCUCCGACCCCGCCAAGGCCGACAUCGUCGAGGGUUUCAAGAGCUUAGGCGUGAAUUUAGUCCGGGUGAGUAGUUAUUAGCGUGCGAUCUGUGUUCAUUGCCCCACCUUUGUGGUUCUGCUUCGACGAAUCGAAGCGUCACUUGUCGCUAAUCUGGUUCGCCGUUCGGAGAAAAUGUCUUUAGCAGUAGAAUCGGAGUCGAUUUUUAUCUCAAUCUCUCCCAAGAUCGUUAGGCAACGUAUGGUCGAGCAUAGUAACUUCUUGUUGUUUUAUUUCUUGCAAUACUUCCUUUCGUCUGAUGAAGGUAUUGAAGGAUUUAUCUGCAUCGGAAUAUGUAUUUCUCCUUUUCUUAGUCUUCCUACUGGCCAAAAUAGGAUUUUUUUUUUUUUAAUUGCUGACUUUAUUGAUUGCUUGUUGAGGCUCUUGGUGAUUUGAUUCUCAGGGAGACAUAUACGAUCAAGAGAGUUUGCUGAAUGCAAUUAAGCAGGUUGAUGUGGUAAUCUCUGCUGUGGGGCAAGCACAAACGGAGGACCAAGACCGGAUUGUUGCUGCCAUCAAAGCAGCCGGGAAUAUCAAGGUCGUGCUGUGCCUAGUCAUUUCCAUUUCAAGCUACUGAGUCCGUUUACUGCUUGACUGAUGAUAUAGGUUGGCGUUAGCAUGAUUCUUUUCUUACUGGUUUAGGUGCAUUGCGAUCUCCUUGCGAGCUUCGCUUUGAUGAAAUGGGACGGAUUGACUCAUUUAUCUGCCGAAUUCACUUCUUUCUUUCUCUAAAUGGUCAUGACUUUGUAUAGGACAGCGUGAGCUGCUAAGUGGGCUACUCUAAAUCCACAUUAUUGCUUUUUAAUGGAUUCAAUUGGGUAGGAAAUUCUGUCAUUGUGGAUGCACAGUGCACCAUCUACAUGAAUUUGUGCAUAUUCGUAUGUAUUUACUCGGAGAUUUACAUCUUUACACAACCAAAAAGGUACUUUGACACCAAACUCAUGCCUGAUAUUGGGCUACCCACAUACUCCAGUGGCUGAUGGCUUUAUUUAUCCAGAACCUGUGUGGUUAGGUUUCCUCUAGGUCAGCAAAAAAAGUAGAAGGUUUCUAGCACUCAAUUUGGAUUAUGGUCAUCUACCCAGCUCUUUGAUCAUGAAUGGAAAACAGCAACUACUUAAUCCUUUAAAUCGUCUUUUUCAGUAGUAUUAUUAUUGUAGCAAAUAAGUUACCAAAACCCAGUUAGUGGAUAGUUUAGCAGUUGUUGCUUUGGCAGGUUGACGGUUGGUAAUGAGUGGAGCUCAACAUGCUCACAUAAGGCAAUGGACUUAUCUGAUAUUUUAUUUCUUGUGGAAGUGUCUAAGCAAGCUGUAUCUUUGCAUACUUGACAGAGUUUUCUGGCUAUUGCCCUGACAAGUAAAUCAUCACUUUUGUUUUUCUUCUACUUUUCCAAGAUCUCUUAAUUGCUUGUGUUGAUUCACUUACGAUCAUUUUUACCCUGUUAUAGUCACAUCUUGAAAAAAAGGAAAAAAAAGCGAAAUUCAGUCCCAUGUAAGUUUGUUUUUUUUUGUCAGAACUCAUGUGGGUUUGUUGGAUGAGGGGAAUAUACUCUAGUAUUGUUGCUUUCUAAUAAAAAAAAAAUUUCUUAUUUAAUUAAUUUUCUUUUUAGAGAUUCUUGCCUUCAGAGUUUGGAAAUGAUGUGGAUCGUGUCCAUGCUGUGGAGCCAGUAAAAACUGGAUUUGCUCUCAAGGCCAAGAUCCGCCGCCUCGUUGAGGCCGAGGGAAUCCCUUAUACCUAUGUGUCUUCUAACUCUUUUGCAGGUUACUACCUUCAAACAUUGUCACAGCCCGGGGCUACAGCUCCCCCUAGAGAUAACGUUGUUAUCUUAGGGGAUGGAAAUGCCAAAGGUAAGAAGCAAUUUGUUGAAAUGCGCAUUUUAAUUUGUUAAUAUUUUUCUGUACAUAUUUCACGAUUUAAUUGCAGUAGUGAUCAGAAUGAGGGGUAGUUCUUGAAGCUUGAGAAUUCCAGGCAACUUCCCUGUCUGGAGAUGUUGGGAUUUAUUAGUCUUCACUUUCAGAUACUAAUUGAUGAUAUGAAUGUGAUGUGGUUUAUCUUGGUACAAUACCACCUAGUCGGCAGAUCGGGAAGGUUAUCUUCAUGUAUUUGGUUGAGAAAAGAACAUAUGGAUGCAUCUGUCUGCCAGUUGUCUGAUGAAUCUGUUUACCGAGAGAAUUCUUCUUCAAUGCGAGUCGAAAGUAACUCUAGGGAGAUUGAUGGCGUUGUGAUUCAUUUAUUAGCCAAAUUCUAAAACUCUUGCUGUCAAUAUACAGUGGUGUUUAACAAGGAGGAUGACAUCGGCACCUAUACCAUCAAAGCUGUGGAUGAUCCAAGGACCUUGAACAAAAUUCUGUACAUCAGGCCUCCUGCCAACACCUACUCAAUGAAUGAGCUCGUGUCUUUGUGGGAGAGAAAGAUCGGCA